UUUUUUUUUUUUUUUUGUCUCAAGCAACUCUUUUCUUAAGGGGGAAAGAAAGUUGUUUUGGGCCAGAAGUUAGAAGGUGGCUUUAAUUCAUGAUCAGACACCUUAGCUCCUGUUACAUUUCAAUGCAACUGCUGAAACAUGACUGGCAGCCCAAAAUGGAGAAAACGAUCAUUUGGAGGAUAGGCUGCCUCGGAACCUUAUAUGGGCUUUGCGAGAGAGCGUGCUUCAGUUGGGUCAGGGUGCGCGGUCAUUCCGAGGAUGCUCUCCUAUCUGGAAGAUGUACGCCAGAUAUAUAUUAUGCACAAAAAGUCGAGAAGAAUUAAAUAUGGAUUUUGGACUAUUACAGUUUCAGAAGGAAAGUAGGUAUUACAUAAUUAAUAGUCCUUGGAAUUUAUAAACCAUUGAACUUACAUAUGACUGGAGAAAGAAGGGAAGGAACGAUCGUACCCAAGGCAUAAAGAAAAACUGUUGUUCCCAGCUGUUGCUCACAAUGCAGAGUUCAGUUGCUUUCGUUCUGCUUCUGGUGUUCUCCAAUUUGUUCUCCACUGGUAAUUUCGCUGUCCCUUUUCAGUAUCACUGCUAUUUCUCCUUUUUUUUCCUGGGGUUUUAGGGAAACUCCAUCCAUGCGUGCUUGUUUGAGUUUACUUUUUAUCAACUGAAAAUGCAGGCUUGAGUUUGACGCAAGAGACCGAGUACACUUGCGCCAAGUCUUUUGAUCUCCCGGUAUGUGACAAGUUUGCCUGUGUCCAGAUAUGCGUGAAAGAAGGUGAUGGAUGGGAAAACGGGGCAUGCAUCGGCCAACAUAAAUGCUGCUGCAAGUUCCUUUAUAGGCACUAUUAGUUCCCCUUCACUCACAAAUGAUGUUGCAUCAUCUCAUCUGAGAUGAUCAAUCCUUCUUCUUCUUUUUUUUUGGUUUGUUUUUGGCGCAAGAGGAUAAUAAAUCGUAUCCUGGACUUGCAUGUGGGAUAUUUUUAGAUGGACUAGCAAUGUUGAUCAAUCCAUUGGGAACAAUAAUGUCAAAUUUUCUUGUGCAUAUUUCGGUUGUUUUGGGGAUGAGUAAGUAAACAUUGCCAACGGAGUGAUUUGCUCAAUACUCAAUUGACAAAGUUCUUUUGAUUCUUAAAAUAACUCAUUCGGAUUAGGGUGAAAAGUAUCAUCAUUCUCCCAAUUCGUGUAUGGUAUCCUGGGUGCAAUUGUAGUAGGAUGGUAAAGAAAGAGAGAAAAAAAAAAAUUUUUUUUUCUAGUUCCGUCCCUGAUUCCAAGUGUACUUGAACAUUUUUUACCCUUUUUUUUUCACAACUGACGAAAUCCUGUGCUCUGGAAACUCCAAAUCUCCAACUAGUUUUGCUUUAUUUGUCUCUCUCCAGCAAUCCAAAGAAAAAAUGUACGACCAACCACUAUAAGAUACGCUGAUCAACCACCAUAGUAGUAGUAAUGAUAAACGUAUAUCAAUCAUUCUGGCAAAGAAAACCAACUACUUUGUCUUCAGCCAGCCUCCGUGGAUCCAGAAUACAAAGAUGUAUGGGGCGAAAAAAUAAAAUAAAGAUAAAUAUAUGUGCAACAACAGCAUGUGCUAGCAAAACCAAAAGCACAAAUUUAAAAGCACAAUGGGACAUCCCCUGAAAGCAAAUGUUACCUGUUUUUGGCUCUCCGACAGCAUGGCCUAAUUAUCCACUCUUCUUUUUCUCUCCACAAUAAUAGAUCAGAACUACAUUUUGAUUCACUCUAGAAAUCAUUAAAUCAAGAACCAGAAAAAAAAAAAAAAAAAAGAAGGGGGAAAGAAAGAGAGAUCAAGAACUACCCCUCAACAAAUUUAUUAGGAAAAUGAAGAAAAAUGGUCACUUUUUCUUGCUCUUAUCCUUGCCAGGGGAGAAAAUAGAACCUAAACCAAACAUACUCGGCGAAGGAACAUUUAAGAAUGGAGUAACCUUAACACCAUUGCCAUAAGAGCCGUAACUUUUCUUCAGUGGAGGCUUCUGAUAUCCACCGGCAGAUAAUGCAGACUGCGACUGCUUCAAUGAAUUCUGCUUAUUGCUUAAAUUACUAUCCUUCCCUGAUGAUGAGCGCUUCACAUUUGGCGUAGAACCGGUCGAAUUACUUCUGUUUAAAAGUGGCAGAGGACAUAAACUUCUUGCAUAACCGCUUCCACAAUUUAAACUUGAACUGCGCUUGAACCGCCAAAAUGACUUGCCAUUUGGUUUUUCAUCUGAUUCUGAAACACCCCUUCUUUUUUCGCUUGAAGUUUUAUCGCUUUUCGGGCUCUUGAUAGGGUCCACAAUGUCAUGAUCAUCUGAUGAAGGCUGUGGAGUUUGUGCUGAUAUUGGUGUUGGAGUUGCCUCUGAUGAUGAUGAUGUCGAGGACUUACUUGGUGAACUUGGACCCAAUUUUCUCUUGAUUUCAAUGGGAAGAAUCUUGCCAUCGGAGAAAAGUUCAUCAGCUGAAGAAGAUUCUUGAUCAAAGCUUUCGCGAAAUACGCAAAAAUCAAAAUCAAUACUUGAAGAUGAAGUUGUUCGGAUGUACUGCUCAAUGGGAACUCCCUCUGUUUGGGAAAGAUCAUGAGAAAAUGAGAUCCGAGGACUCGCUCCCAUGCUGGAAGUCUCUGAACAGAUUUCGACAGCCAUUGCCUAAUAGACUACCACUGCUAAGCAACACGUUAAAAACUUGUAGCAGAGAACAAGUAAAGAAGCAUUCACAUCAAGCAGUUGGAAUUAAAGGAGAACAACAGGAGCAUUAAAAUGGAGGGCCAAACUUCCGAGGAUCAAAUAAAGAAUCCCACCUGUAAAAAUUAACUGAAUUUGCACGCAAGUCUAAGCAUUUAUAUGAACUUCGAGAUUAAGAUGACUUGGAUGAGGGAUGAAGUAAAUAACAGAUCAGAUUCUCUGAACGCUAAAUUUGAAACUUUAAUACAAAGAAUAACAGGGAUGAGGGUGACAGGAACUAGAAUUGAAGGAGGAGGAGGAGGAGAAGGCAUAGCAAUGUUGCAUUGAUUGGAAUAAAGAGGUGCCAAGAAUGCUGGGGACCCCGAACUGACCGAAAGUUUUUGUGCGACGUGGAUAGGUGAAAGAUGGAGUGGGACACGAACGUGAAGAAAAGUAAAAUAGGGAAUUUAGCUUAGCAAAAUGGUUGUUAAAGACUUUGGUGCAGAGGCUGUGGGGCUGUGGGGAUAAAUUCGACGGCAUUCUUCUGAAUCAUUUGUGAAAUGACAAUUCAGUUUUUAUUACUUGUGUUAAUUAUUUAUUACUACAUUUUACCAUGAAACUAUAUGAAGUAUUAUGCUUCCAACUAUCACCUGCAUUCAAAUACAUAAUGAUGCGCUGAUCAUUGCUUGUUAGAUGGAGGCACUCUUCUAAUCAACAUGUACGUGUCCUUCAUUUCUUGAUCCCCCUUUCUUUUUUGUUUGGCUUUCCCUAUUAGAUUGCUCUCGGGAAAAUCUGCAGGCGCACAAAUGUGUUGUCAUACAAUUGGCAACAAUUUUAUCUUGAGUAAGAGGUCCAGCUACUUGAAUUUCAGCCGCUAAUUGAAAAUUCGGGUUAGGCGACAUGACCCUGAAAGUCAACAUCAUUGAAGAAUCUUAAUUGAAGUUAUCAACCACGAACGAAUCCAUAAAAUAAAACGUGUUAACAAUUGACGACAAAUUUUUAGAUAGCUUAAGAUUGCAGUGAAUGAUAAACUUGGAUGAUGCCCUGCCCCUGCAGGGACGGCACCAUUAUAUGUGGCAGAAACACAACCAGAACCUACUUAUUCCAUAGUAUUUGUAACACGUAAAAGUGACCAGUUUCAAAAGUAUCAUUGAUUAGUCCGAAAUCGACUUGUGAAACGACUCAGGGAAGGUGGAUUUUUCACCGGUCAGUUGUUUGUGGUGGUGGUUUUGCGCAUCAGCUAAUUUACCGGUACUCAGUAUUCCUGCCUGUCUUGCUUCAAACUACUGGAUUCAAUUUACAUUUAUCCAUUUUGGCGACUAACAUUAUUGUUUCCCACGAUCAGAUGUACGUAAACAUGCUAUGGAUUAAAGCCUCAUUCUUAACUGGCCCUGAACCAUAAUAUUCUAUAAAACAGUCUCUUUUUUAUUUGAAUCAGUAGUAUCCGAUGUGUUAGUUUCUCGUGUGUAGUAUGGCAAAGGAGGGCCACAUCAAAACCAUUUGCUGUGGCUUGUAUCCCACUUUUAUUUGAAUCAGUACUUACUUGAUAAAGUUUCAAAGAUAAAGUAUCCCACUUUUAAGAUGUAGAUUAUUCAUGUCAAAACUCUGAUUUCCCCUCCCCGCCAUCCGUAUUUCUCUGUCUUCUUUUGGAUUUGGUCCACAUUUUGUUCUUGACAGCAGUACAUAGCCGUUAAAAUCAAACAGUCCAAUCAAAUCCAUAGCAAAGCAAGCUUUUCAGCCACACGAGGACACUUAAAAGAAACUAAAAAUACUCGGUCUGAAGAUGUUGUUUUACAACCAUUAACAGGAGUUAUCGAGAUCACGGAGGAGGGUUUGCAGCAGCUGGUAGCUGACUGUAUAUGUGGACUAUAGAAGAAGAAGGGACAGUUUAUACAGGAGAAGCAGUCCUAGUGACAAAUCCAAUCAUUCAUAAAUCUUCUCUUUUUCUCAAUGGUGGAUAACCCAAAAGAAGAAGAAGAAGGGUCCAUCAUCAUCCAUCAUCAUUCAUCGUCCAUGAAAUGGGACUGUGGGAGGAUAAUGUCACCAAAGUACGCAUGCUCUGGCUAGGAGGAUCCUCACCACAUUGCCUUUUUCGUUUCUUUUUCACCUUUUGUUUCCUUUCUUUGCCAACUUGCCAUGUGAGAUCAAACAUCAACAACUCAACAAAGAGGAAAACUCGAACACAGAUACAUCACUUCUUAUCCCUCAGUCCUUCUCCAGUAAUAAUUGUCUCUUGCUUAGGCGGCAUUGGUUUCUUGUCAUCCAGCAAUCCAUGAACUGAUCAACGCACUUUUCAAACUUUUUGAGUUUUGAUCCAUAUAUGUAUUUUCCUCUUCCACCACUCGAUCAGUUUUCAUCUUCUUUUCCUGUAAUUUAGAUACCUGCCACGCAAGAACUAUUUCUCUGCCCUGUUGCUAAUAUUGUGGUUUUCACAAAACUUUCAUGCAUCCCACUGGCAUACCACACGGCCUCAUCUUGGAUCUUUUUUUAAUUUUUCCGAAUUGUUACAUACAGUAAGGUUUUUUAAGAUGUGUGUAUAUAUGUAUCCAUUUUUCUUUUUCCUUGUAGCUUUCCUCUUUGACGACUUUCCACAAUUUUGUGAUUUUUUGGUAGUUUUCAAAAUCAUGAUCAUGAAUUAUAACAUCAUCCAUUAUUCUAACUCUUAGAGAGUGGGACUCAAAUUCAGUUUUGAGAAAUCGAACCAUAUUUUAAAAAAAAAAAAUGGUUGUUUCUAAAUUACACACAUAUCGAGUGUGCUCUUAGCACCAAUAACUACUCUAAAUAUUUUUGAAAAAAAAAAAAAACUAGUCUAAAUAUUGUAAUUACUUAAUUGGACUUGCAGGCGCCUCGGUAACUUCUCUCAGACUCGAGGACACCUCGAUGGAGCCCAUGACAAAUAUAAACGACCAAACAAAGACUACUUGUCCACCAGACUUCAACUUUGGGCCGUAGUCGGCAAGCUACCAAUCCAGCUGUGAAGUACUACAAGUCUCAACAAGGUGUAAUCUUGGGCUUUAUUCUGUCUUUAAUCAUUGGGGAAGUUUGCAAAAAUUAAAGUUUCAGUAGUAAAUUUUUUUUAUUUAUACCGCUUGUUGCAGUUCCAACAAUCCCCCGCCACCCCCUCCAAAAAAAAACUUCCCGUCCUAUUUUAAGUUCAUAGCAACACUUUGCUUCUUAGAACUCCAAUCGCCUUCCUUGAAACUUGACCCCUAGUAAUACUUCGUUCUUUUGAACUUUAAAUAUAAACACUUUAUACCUUAUAAUUAACUGUCCAUGGAUUAAGAUAAAAUCUUUAUACUAUACAAGAACGAGUUUAGGACAAAAACGGUUUUUAGAUUUCAACUGCGAGUGUGAGACUAUUUUGGAAAUGUUAGAGUGUUUGAAGUGUAAUUGGAGUAUUGAGUAAAAGUCAUUACAAUUUCAAUUUCGCUAUAAUUACAUAUAUAACCUUUCAGACAUUGAAGGUUAGGGGCAGGUUUGGUAUGUUACAAUGUUUGGUGCCAAAUUGAAUAUUAAGUACAACUAAAUUAAGUUUGUGUUUUGAUAGAAUUACAUAAAAGCCCUUUUAAUCAUUUAUUAUACUAACAUCCAAGUCUUCCAAUUUCCUGAAAACUUUUCUCAUCUGUUAAGGAAUUAAUUGGAUGUUUAUAUAAUUGGAUUUUAAUUAUAAUUAAUUAACUUAAUUAUUAUUUGAACAAUCAUUAUCAUAUUUAUGCCGCCAUGUUAAGCCAAUAUCCUUUCUUCUUUUUCGGUUUCACAUUUUUUGUUUUAUUAUGGCUAUUAAAUAUUUGGUGAAAGGCGUAGCUUUUCUUUUAAAUUGAGAUGAGUUCAUUGGGUUUGUCUUAUUCGAAUAUAGUUUUUUUCCCUGAUGAGUGGUUUAUUCAAGAACUCUAUAUAGUUUGCUUUUUGAUACUUUUAAUUCAAAAAAUUGACUAAUUGUAUUAUUUUCCUUAGUAGAUCCUAGAGAUUCUGUCUCUGAUUUGAGAUAAUGUUGUCAUUUUCUAAAAUAAUCAGAAAAGUAAUUUUAUCAUCUUCUUCUCCUUGGCUAAGGUAUCAUCUCUUUAUUUAAGUCAAAUAACCUUAUUUUUCAUAAAAUUUCUCCUAUUGUUUUUUACUCUAGGGAUCUGUUGACUACAUUUCAGCAGUUAUGUUUUAACCAUAACUGCUGCAAAGUAAACAAAUGUGCAAAUGUGCUAGCGAAUUGGGAAGGAGCAUUAAUGAAGACUCCACCUUUUUUUAAUCCUAUCCUGAUUUUAACCUUCCCUUACUUUUGCAAGACUUAAAAGGUGUCAUCAACACACGGAUGACUUUACUUUAACUAUUACUCUAUAGAUUUUGACUUUUAUUUAAUGCAUCUCUAUUUUACCAAAAAAAAAAAAAGACUUUCUCAUAUGUCGUGAUUCACCACCUACACAUACCGUCACAUACUAUAUAUCACUAAAACAAAUUAUGUAGAAACAUGAUAUAUUUUGACAGUUCUCGAAAUAAAAGAGUUUGAAUUUUCAGAAUUUUCGAUGUCUUAUUGCUACCAAGUAGCUAGGAAUCCAAAUUCCCAAGUGGGGAAAAAAAAAAGAAAAGGGUAUGAUCCGACAAUUACCAUGAAUAAGUUUCAAUCUUGACAUCUUCUUAUAAGAUCUCAAAUUGCUUGAAAACGCUAAUCAGUAUUGUUGAAACUAAAGUAUGAAAAAUCGAUGAAAGCGAUUGAAACUUGAGGGUUUGAGACAAUAGGCAUAUAGGUGUGGGUGUUGCAAUAAGCAUGGCAAGAAGGGAUGGAGUUGAGGCCUGGUGAUUUUGCUAAUAGUUUAAUGCUUGACAAAUUUUUUGUUGGUUGAACAGAAUUAUUAUGGCAUUGUAUAUUAUGGAUAUUGUAUGGUUCAAGUAGUUAUUUUUUCAUGUAAUAUAAUUUGGAAUUCAGCUUGUGUUUAUUUUAAUUGAGAAUUUUAUGAUUGUAAAAUAUAUUAAUUUGGAAUUUUGUACUUCAUUGAAACUAAAAAAGAAAAUUAAUCAUGCUACAUAGUACUAAAAUGUCAUUUGCACUCUAUUUGCUUUCCCUGUUAUAAUCUCGUUCUUGUAUUUUACUCUUUAUAUAGUUUCAAAUACAAAAAAUUUACUUUUUAUGCUAUCUAAAAGAAUUUGCAGUGGAACUUGAUGAGUUUAAAUGCUUUAACUAUAGCACCAUUUCGAUUGCAUUGUAUGAAUUCAUUUACUCAUAAUUGUAUGCUGCACAGUAAUAAAUAAUAUUUCUUGGUUUGAUUGAAGCAACUAUUAUCUAUAAUUCAAACGAGUCAAUUAAGUAGAGUUGCUACAUUGGAUACUCAUACAAAUAAAUAUUGAAAAAUAUCAUUAAGCAGUUGCUACCUAUAGUUUGCAAUUCAAAUUCAUAUGAAGAAUUUCUUCUGAUUUUAGUUACUAUUUUCUACGAUUUCAAAUUUAGAAAAUAUUAUUUGCACCAAUUUUUUAUAAUCAAGAUAGUUUCAAUUCAGAUAAUUAACAAUUAUGCAGAUUUGAACUUAUUUAUGAGAUUAUAAAGAAAUGCCCCUAGCAAAAAACACCAAAUCUGAAUAGUUUCUACAAAAUUUUGAAAAAGACCACUUAAGUUUCUUAUCUAUCUAUCAUUUUUUACCAUUAUUAUCUCUGUAAGAAACAUGUGAUUAAGUCGUAUUAUGCCCACCAAAUUAUAUAAAUUGUUAGUCUAAAAUAAAAUUAUUUUAGAUUAAAUUUGACGCAAAGUGAUUAAUGGAUAAACUUGACUUAAUAAUUCAGGUUGAACUUAAGUCGAGAGAUAAAUCAAAAGCACUGCUUAAGGGAUUUUUCACGAACAUAUAUAGAUUCGAGAGAUGAGGGGUCCAAUUGAUAUUUUAAAAUGUUUUAUCAUCUUGGAUGAGUUUUAGAAAAGACUUUUGGAUAAUUUUCAAUUGCACUUUAAACAUUUUUACCUUUACCCUUAUCUUUGCGGUUGAAAUUCAAACGUAACAUUUGAUCACAAUGGAUUCUUACAUAGUAUAACGAUAAGAAUGUUUCAUUGCACAUUAUUUUAUUGACUCACUAUGUAACUUAUGUUUUUUCUAUUAAAAUCACAUGAUAAAAUCAUCAUACUUCAAUUCCUAUACUACAAAAUAUUAAAUAAUUAUUAUUAAUUAUCUUGAAUUACAACCACCAAAUUCCUGCGCGCCGCGCGAGCUGUCCCUCCUUAGUUAUAUUUUAUAUGAUCAAAAUGCUCUUGACCAAUUCAUGAAUACAUAUAAUAAAUUAACAAUUACAACCUAAUGUUUGACUUUUUUUUAACAGUUGCUAAAUUCAUUUGACUAUAAUCAAACCAUAUAUUUGAUCGUUUAGCAAUAAAAAUAUUCAAGAAUUUACAAAAAAAAAAAACCUAAGCAACUCAAAGUAUUUUUUUUAAGGAUGAUAUCAAUGUUACUUUGGAUAAAAUAAAAUGAAGGAGUGUAUUUCAAAUGGAGAUCAUUGGGAUUUUUUUUAUACCAAAACAAUUUUUUAAUGUGGUUUAUAUGGGACAAAAAUAUGAUUGAAAAAAAAUUUUAGUGAAAAAUAUGGUUAGAGAUUCUCAAAUUUAUUUUUUCUAGAUAAUGUAGAUACCAAAAAAAGUUAAAGCAGAGUAUAUUUGUGGUAUAAAAACACCAAUUGGUAGGUUAUUAACCUAUGAGAAUCUCAUAUAAGCUACAAAAUAAGUUAAAAUUAUCAAGAUUAAUCUACUUAUAAUUAAAGGAAAAAGGAAAAGGGAUAAAAAAAAACUAGCGUAUCAGUUUUUAACACAAUUUUUCAUUUUAGGAAAAAUCGUGCAAAACGCUUCUUAUAUUUUGCUAAAUAAAUAUUUUCAUUAUUCACUUUUAAAAUGUUAACUUUACAUUCCAUGCAAAUUUAAGUAACCAAAAUUUAGUUUCAAUCUAAGUUUUUAACCAUUUUUUAGUGUGAAAUUUACCAAAAUGAUCCACAUGUAGUCAUUUUUUAUGUACAAAAAUGUUAGGUCCUAUCUUUUUAAUAGCGAAAAUGAAUAUAGAUUAGAUUUGAUCACAUUUUUUGCAGUGGAUCAAAUCCUACUUUUUUUUGGGUAAAAAUGAAUAUAAAUCAAAUUAUUGUUCAACUACAAAUGUGAUCUAAUCUUUUUGCCUUUAAAAAGAUGAUAAUAUGUAAGUCACGUAAUGGAUUCAGGAUAAAAAGUUAUGAAAUUUAGGCUGGAAUCAAAAUUUAUCGACUUGAUUUUAUAAGUAAAUAACAAAAAAGUUCAUUUAAUGAAAUAUAAGUAUGGGUGUGUAUUUAGUACAAAUUCGAUUAUUCGGUUAUUUCACUUGUAAGACUUUAAACUGUUUUCAAUUUUGAAUUGGGAAUAACUCAAUUCAUUCGUUACUUUGGUUACCAAAUUGAAUUCGGAAAUGAUCAUGAAAUCGGUUAUAACCGAAUUGGAUAGUAAUUUUCACAUAAUUAAAUGGAACUCACUCGUGUACUUGUAUACACCUAGUUACUCAUAAUUUACUAAUGAUGUAUUGCAUUACACUUACAUUUAUUAUUAUUAUUUAUAUAAUUUAAAUGUUUAAUUUACAGAUAACUGAUUAUUUUUCAAUAAUGGAUGCUAAUACACUAAUAUAUUGACAUGUAAUUCAUAUACAUUCACUUAAACUAUUUAAUCAUACUGUUUAGUUGUCUACGUUUAAAUAAGAUUAGUGAUUAUAAAAUAUAAAUUCACAUAUUGUACGUGUAAUGUAAAUUUAGAGUAUACUAAUACUUGCAAAUUAAACAUUACACAUUCAACUAUUUAAUAAUCCAAACAUAAAUGAUAAACUAAUGUCCAAAUUCUAAUUACUAAUUAUGUUUAAUAUUUAGUACUACAUUUAUAUUUAUUAUCUAAUUCUAGUUAUGCAUUAAAGGGUAAGUAUCAUAGUUAUGUACUAUUGUAUAUUUGCAUUAUUAUAAAUAUAUAACAAAUAGUAAAAUAGUAUAUUUUACAUCAUUAUAUUUUUUUAUUAUUAUAGGUGCAUGAUAAUAUAUUAUAUUUGUAUAACUUAAAGUCUGUUUGAUAACAUAAAAGAGUGCUGAAUCUGAAUUUUUUCAUACAUUCAGAUGUUUUGAGUGUUUGAUAAAUGAAAAUAUAUUUGCUGAACUUGUUAAACAGUACUGAACCUAUGUGUAUUUUUUUAGCAUAAGAAUCCUAACUGAAUACUUAAUUCUGAUAAGAAUCAAUAUAAUUAUUUCAACUACCUUAUUUUAUCUACAAAAUCUAUCAUUGUUUGUUAAUUAUGUUCAAAAUUCGUAUCUAAUUAAACAACCUAAUAUUCUCUAUCUAACGAUUUUUUGUUUCUCUUUUCUUCCUUUUUAAUGACUUUCACAUCUUCUCCAUACUUCUCAUAUAAUAUAUUUAAUCUUUUAUAUUAAUUUGAUUUAAAAAUAAAUAUUGUCAUUUUUAUACGUAACAAUUUUAAACUAACUAAAUCAUAGAUUUUAUUUCUUUUUUGAAUGAAAGGAUAUAAGGGCAACAUUAUCAAAUUAAACUUAUUAAGCAUUCAUCUAUAAAUAUUUAUCAAACAGUAUAAAUAGCUUUAGUAUUGAAAUUUAGACAUUCAUAUAUUUUUUCAGUGUUUAAAAUUCAACAAAUUAAUUAUUUCAGUAUUCAGAUUUUAGAAUUCAGACUUCAAAAUUCAGAUUCAGUUUUAUCAAAUGGAACCUUACUUUAGCCUAAUUUAAGAGGAGGGGGAAACUUAUGAAUUUUUUCCGUUCGAGAAAGUCACAAUUAAGUGGCAAGGUGGAUUCUUAACCUCCCACUCCCACCAAGGCAUUAUGACUCGGUGGUACCAAGAGUCCAAGAGCCUUUUGGCAAUACGAUACUCUAUUUCAUUUUAUUGAAUUUGAAAUCAAAAUCGAUUAUUACCAAAUUGAUAAUUUCAUUACAUAUUUCAUACCAUAUUAGAAUUCGAUAAAUUUGAUAAAUAUCGCUUUCGUACUAAAUUACCAAAUAUCCAAUUUCAAAUUAUCAAAUUGAAUUUAAAAUUAUAUAUGAAUUCGGUUCUUACCAAAUUUGCUCGCUCCUAAAUACAAGGGGCAUAUAUGAAUUCCGUUCUUACCAAAUUUGCUCACUCCUAAAUAUAAGGGGCAUUUUGAAAGAUUUUUUUUAACAAUUUUUAUAACAUAAAUUUUUCAAGAGGUUGGACAGCCAAUAACCGCAACACCCAACGCCUUAUUAGUUGGCGCAGUUUCUUACUUUUUGCCAGUUAAGCCAAGUCAGCCCUGCCUGCCCGCCAGCCCUCUUUCUGCAUUCAAGUAUUCAACCCGCUUUCUUCGUUCUUUCCUUCAUUCUUCUCUCUUUAGAUAAUAGAGACAGGGAGAGAGACAAGAGGUUAGGACGAAAUUGCCAAUUGCCUCCUCCAAAUUCAAAACCGUGUAUACGCACAAACACACAGCAGACUGCUCCCCAAGCGACCCCCACAAACAACUUCUUGUCCUUCGUCACUUGAAUCGAAGAGAGAAAGAGGGAGAGAGAGAGGGAAGAUGAGUCCGAAUUGGGAGCUAAAGCACUGCUGCAAUCAUGACCAAGUUGUGUUUCUUGUUACCAUCGGCGUCUUCACUGUCGUCAUUCUUGCCGUACGCUACUACUACCCUUUUUCCCCCCUCCUCCGUUUUGCUUAGCUAAUUUGCUUGUGCUACUAGCACGAUCUUUUUGUGCGCUCCACUUUGCUUGCUAGUUCUUGAUCGCUUUUGUUCGGCAAGUAAAUUGCAAGCUUCCUUUACAGAACUGCACUCUUCCAUGGCUUGUGAAAAUUAAAGUUGUAAUGUGGUGGUAAUUUUCAUGAAUAUUGGUAUCACACGUUUUCAGAAACUUUUAGUGCAAGUACAAUACCACUGUUUGCUGCUGCUGCUCUUAGGAGUCAUUGACUCUCAUUUAGUCCCAACUCUCUAACCGAAGGGUUUUGGCAGCCCAAUUGAGUUUCUUGCUGAAUUUCUAGAAUCGUCACCUGUGACUCGUAAUUGAAGGGUUUUGGCAGCCCAAUUGAGUCACCCGCAAAAGUAGUCACCUGUGAUCGGAUUUUAACUCUGAGAACUACCGCAUAUAUCUAGAAUUUCUUGCUAAUAUUUGAUAAUUCAUUUAUGGUCUGAUGGCACCCCGCUCUUGAGCCACAGGAAAAUAACUGUUUGCCGUUUUCAUCCAUUUUGAGGGUUUAUAGUAGAUCUUCAUGUUCUGACCUUAUUCAAUCGUUUUUUGCCCAAAAAAAAAAAAUGCAGUUAUGGAGGACAAUACUUCUCACACCUUUCAAGCUCAUUACAGUGUUUCUUCAUGAAGCAAGCCAUGCAAUUGCUUGUAAGCUCACAUGUGGUCAGGUAAGAUGCUUUCUUUUUAUCACUCUGAUCUUUUUCUGCAAAUUAGCCAAAUUUCCUUGCUGCGUAAGCUGUGUGUUCCUGCUCGCAAUUGUUUGAAACACUAAAUUUUUGUGGCUGUCUCUCCCACACACUCCCAUCCUGCCCCGAAAAAAAAAAAAAAAAUCCCUCUGUGAACUCUUAUUUGAAUGAAUUUACUUUUUUAGUUUCAUUAACAUGAAGAAAGUUUAUUUUCAACUCUUUUUACAGAUUCUGCUUUAUGACUAUAUUUUAACUUUGAUCUAUUUUGCUGAUGAGAACAUUGGCGGGCCUGCUUCUAGAAUGCUCAUUUCAGCAGUAGAAGAACAAACUCAUUUCUCCAAAAUUUUGGGUCCAAAGUGUUGGAGGACUCAGACUUGUGCUAUGCAUGCAUUGAGCCUUCAAGUUUUCAGAGAGUUGUGCCCUGCAAUUCCAAGUAGUUACAUAGAUAUUCCAGAGAAACUAGGUGUAUAAGCUUGGACUUCCAUGCAAACUUUUUCCUUCACUGAAGCACACACAAGAGCUGUUCACUUCAAUAUUAACGGCAAAAAGUGCAUGGCACUGUUAGUUUCAUAAUAUUGCUUGUAUGAUGAUGUCAUUCAAACACAUUCCAGUUUUAUUGUAAUUAAUGCAUUUCAGUUGUUGGUUGGAUGGUCAUUCAUGUCUGCUGAAUGAACUUCCUCUUUUGCUCUUGUAUGCAGGUUGAGGGCAUGCAAGUUCAUGCAAAUGAGGGUGGGGUGACUCAAACACGUGGUGGUGUUUAUUGGUUGAUCUUGCCGGCAGGAUGUAUUGCACAUUUCUCCUUGAAUAUUUCCCUUUUUAAUUAGAAUAAUUAGCACUAGCUGUCAGUAUUGCAAGAUAAAUGAUUGUUAUAUCCUAUACUCUGGUCUAUUCUUAAGGGAUCAACUAAAUAUGUAGCUACUUUAUCAUGUAUUUCCUUCAUCCUGUGUACAUCAUGAUUUAUCUUUAACUUCCUCAGUAUCUGUUUGGUUCCAGAUCUCGGUUCAUCAUUUUGGGGAAUGGCUCUUAUACUUGCUUCUACAAAUCUCCUCACUUCUAGAAUUGCUGCUGGAUGUUUUAUUGCCGCUUUGUUGGUUGUGCUUUUCAUUGCUAAAAAUGUAAGAGAACACAAUAAAUUGAUCAGUCCAAUUUUGUUUCAUGUUCUGCAAAUUAAUUAAUCUGAUAACAAGUAUCCACUAAGAAUUUGGAAGUUGGUUUGAUGAUUUCAUGCUAUUUGCAAAAUCUAACUUUUUUGGUUUUUUACUUUUAAAACAGUGGACUCUCCGAGGACUUUGCAUUGGUGAUUAUCUUCAAGUCCUAAUAACUUAAAUUCUUUCUACACGUCCUUUUCAUAUUCAAAUGAAUUGAAACUGACAGCCUGGACAUGCCAGGAUUUAUCAUUUUCAUUGGUGUAGUAUGGGUUCUGCAAGAGCUGACUAAAGUUCGCAUUCUUCGCUAUGUCAUUCUCUUCAUUGGUAUGUAUUCAUCUGAUGAUAUGUAUUUCCUUCUAGCAAUUAGUCCGUCUUCUUGCUUCCAUUCAAUUCUACACUUUUAACUAAUUCUGUCAGUUUUGUUGGUGUUAUAUAUUGCAGGUGUUAUGAACAGUUUGUUUUCAGUAUACGGUAAUAGCUACCUUAAGCAUCAUAAAUAAAUAAACCAGAGGCUAAGAAAUUCAGAAUUCUAUCCAACAUUAAUUGAAUAGUGCAGAUAUAUACGAUGAUUUGAUCUCUCGAAGGGUUCAUUCAAGUGAUGCUGAGAAGUUUGCAGAACUUUGCCCCUGCCCUUGUAAUGGUGUUGGAUGGGGUGUUAUUUGGUAAGUUUUUUUUUUGUUGUUUGACAUAUUUGUGAAGAGCAAACGGCUAAAGGGUCAUGAAACUACUUAGCGUUCCAUGUAUUACUUACCAAAUUUUUUAUCUAGCCAAAAUGUCUAUUCAACUAAUUAAAACGUAUAUUUUGGGACAGACAGGUAUACAUUUUCAUUAGUAGAGUGACAAAAUAUACAUUUUUUAUUAGUUGAGUGACCAAAAAUGUACUUUUUCAUUAGUUGAGUGACCAUUUGGACAAAUAAAAUGUUCAGUGACUAAAACAUAAAAUUUGAAAUGGUUUGGUGACAACUUGUGCCUUUUGCCCUGUUUGUGAAUAAUCUGUUGUCAUGAAUUUACUGGUCAAUAUAGUUGAGUUUCUCCUAGUUCUAUCUCUGUUGUGUCUAUCAUACUAUCUAAAUGCAGACCUUUCUUGCAGGGGAAUGAUAUCUUUCGUAUUUCUUUGUGGAGCCAUGUAUCUUGGACUAGUCAUCCUGUCCUGAGGUACUUUCUCUUCCUUCGCCGUAGAUAUGGCUUCAAGGGUUCACAGGAAAAGAAAUUAUGAAAACACACUACUUGACAUAAGUUUGCAGACAGUCAGCAAUUUGCUGGUUGGAUUGAAUUGUUGAAAGCGGGAAUGACCUAUUCACUAACCAAUGGAAUGUGAUUUGGCCUGCUUGAUUUCCAUAUACUCAGUGAGCACUUAUUGAUAAUCAACUUUCAACAGUAUAAAAUCAGGAAAUAUUUUAGACGUUAGACAGAGGCUAUAUAAUAACAUCCAUAAUUUAAGCUGCCAACCUACAGCAUUAAAUGUUAAACACUAGUCUUGCAAAUUUUUGACAAAAUUCUUGUUAUAAAUAAUGCAACUGGUGCAGUUAGCAUAUUGCAAAGCAAAAGUAAAUCAAACUUUCCUCCGUGUAACCUUUUGUAACCCUGUUAAAGUAAUUCUAAUGUUAUGAUUUCCUCCCAAAAAUAAAAAGAAUUAAGUUAUAAAGAAACUCUCCUAUGGCACAUGAUCUGUUAUGACUAUCAGCCAGCAUGCAGAUAUAUAAAGACCUUGUGCUGUUUUCAUGGGCUAGAGAUCAGGGAGAUAACAAGCUUUAAUAGUUCUUUUUCAGUUUUUAUUCUUUAGCAUUUUCAUUUCUUUGUGUCACAUCAUUAGCUGUUCUUCAAGAGCAUAACUUCGUUUUAAGACUCCAGAUUCAUUUUCUGCCUAAUCAGUCUACAACUUGUACUAAUUUCUCUUUCCUUUCGUGUAACAUUUUCAUCUUUUUUAGGUUUGUUGACUUGGUUAUGAAUCCAGUCAACCGUGAUUCAUGGGAAGACCGGAAUUCGGUGUUGAUUCAACAAAAUUUUUUUUCCACUCUGAAUUAUUCUUUUGCUCAAUUUUUGGACUAGGAACUGUAGGUCGGGAUUGUGUACAGUGAGGAGGAAUGUUCCAGUCCAUGAUCUACUGUGGGCAAAUUUUUUUUGAACCUACCAGUUUGCUGGAUGUCUCAGAUCUUUUAGCUCUGGAUUCUCGAACUGUAUAGUUCGGUUUAUUGAAGUUCCCGAUUGAACUGGAUUAGCAACUAGCAAAUGCGAGUAAAUUUGGUAUUAGCGUUGAUUCAUUACAUCGUUAUCGUAACUGCUAAUUUCGUGACAGCAUAUACAACCUGUCAAUAGUUAUCAAUUCGCACAUUAACUAACACACACACAACCCAUUCUCAAGUGCCUAACUGAAGCAAAACACUCGCGCUGCAUGGUAGAUCCAUCACAGUUGCGAGCGUGCAUUUAUUCCUCUAAAAAGCACGUUUAUGGGAAUUCAAGAUGCAAGCUUGCGUGAUCCAAAACAGUAACUUUUCCUCUAAGCGGCAAGCGCAGGCGAAACAAACAGCAAAGCGUAGCCUGUGGUAGGAUCCGCAUUUACCUCAUCGUUUUUGUGGCAGUACGUUUUUAGGGCAUUCAAUAUCUAGAGCACUAAAGUAGAUUAAGAAAACCAAAUGCACUAACAAGAAGAUGCUCCAUUAAUUGGAUUUUCAGGAUCACUAUACUUAACAGCCCAAACCAUCUAACUCGAGAAGAUGCAGUAUCGUUAUGCCCAACUGAAGAAAGCACUUCGGCAGUACCGUUAUGUCCAGCACGGUCGUCCGUCCGCCCGCCAUUUUCCCUCUAAGAAGCAGGUUUAUAUGGGUGUCAAACUUGCGUGGCCCAAAAAGCUCCAUCAUCUACUCUCUCUUUCUUCCCCCCACAACCCCGCUCCCUCCUCCCCUUCUAGCAUACAGGUGCGAACACAUUAAUCUUACCGUUCCUUUGGCAGCAGAGAAGCAUGGAUCUAGAGUACUGCAGCACAUGAUGUACUAAGAAACAGUGGAACAUUCAACUCGUUUAUCAACUGGAUUAUCAGGAUCAUCACACAACAAUUAACAUCCCAAGCUGUCUAACACAAGAAGACGCUCGAUUUUACAGAAAGCUCCUACCACAAAACUUCUUAACUAAUCACCUUAUUAGUUACUAAUAUACCGUGUAACAUAGAAUUAACCGUAACGCAGACCCCUUCGUCUAUUGAUCCAUGUGACAAUGAGGGAAAGAAUAGCAAUUGGUACGAGUUCGAUGCAGGCUCAAACAACUCGCCAGAGCUUCAUCAAUCUUUUGCUCCUCGGACUUUACUCUCAGCAAGCUAGACGUUCAGAAGGGGAAAAAAAAGCAUCUGGUCAAAAUAUGCUCAGCACCACAGAGCUUCAUCGUACUUUGUCAAGGGCCAUCCAAUGUUUAGGCAGCCAAUUCUUCUGAUUCAGCAUAAUUUGAAGUUUGCAAUCAAUUUGUCAGUAAUUCCAGGAUUCCAACAGUCAGAAAGAAGAUAGUGGAGUCAGAUAUCCAAAUCAUCAUCAGGGUCCUCAUCAGAAUCUGGCAUUUCAUCAUCGGAGUCUCGAAUAUAGAUUAUCUCGCCACGACCAGAAUCCUCAUUCACAUGCAUUUUCUCGGCAUUAGUCUCUUUAUUCUCAGUUUUGCUCUCACUCACAGAUCUCCGGCCAUCAUAGAUUUGAAUGGGUUUGCCAUCACCUGAAGGAAAAUAAACCCAUGGCUUUCUCAUCAUAAAUCACAAAAUAAACUUGAUAUGCUUAAAAAUUGAAGAUAAAUAAGCAAUAAUUCCAAUCAACACAUUCACACAACCAUAAUAAUCAGUUUACAUCCCUACCCUGGUGCUCAAAUGGCAGAACAACUUUUGCCCUGUCAUUUCUCUCCUUUUCUGACAGCUGCAGAUUGAACUGGACCUGAGAAAAACCCACGACGUGAACAAAAUGUACUCUUCCAGAACUUUUGGCAGCAUAAGCGCAAUUGCAACUUAUGUUUCCAAUUAGAAAUUGCUUGAAUCCUGUUUCAAAGGCCAAUUUACCUUAGGUACAAGGCUUUGAGAAGUUACGUGACCUUCGAAAGCAGGCACAAAGUUGAUGCCCAUUUGCUCAGUGUGGAGCUCUUCACUCUAACAAAAGAAUGUAAAGAUAUCAGAUUCUGAACCAAGCUGAAUACAAUCAAUUUCUCUUCCGCUUUUUGUAUAAGGAUAAGAAGGGUAAGAGAGUACCAUCAAUCUAAUACGUCCAUUCCUGCGUUUGAAGCGCACAGAAAACUUUCCCCUCCCAAGAUUCUGUUCAAUCAGAGGAACGUUCUCAGAGUUCAUUCCCUUUCCAUUGGCUGUGUUGCUUAUUGGUUCUACACAGGCAACCAUAGAAGAAAUAUACUCGAGAGCUGAAGAAGCCUUCAUCUCAUGAAGGUCCGAAUGGAAUAACCAAAACAAACAAGCAACUUGGUCUGCAAGAAAAUUCAAUGAGUUAAAAACUGCAGCAAGAAACAUUUAAUGAAACUUCUGGUUUCCUGAAGAAUCUGCCUACCAUGAGAACGAAGGUUGCUUAACAGGGAAGCGGCAGAGGAAAUGGAAGCAUGUCUUAAGAUCUCACUUACCUGAAGACAGAAAACAUAAAACUCAUUCAAAGUCCAUAUUUCGGCUAGAGAUAACUCGAAUUUCCUAAAAGUCCCAUUCUUGAAUACUUUAAGUUUCAGUACUCAGAGCUAAGAUUUUUUUCAAUUUAACAAUAUAACAGAUAGUGAAUUUAUCAAUAUGAUAAAAGGUGAUGAAACUACUUAUUUCUACCUUGCUUAAUAUUACUGGAGAUAAAAACCAUCAAUUACUAUGUAAAAAAGCCAAUGUGAAGCCACACCAUGAAAAAAAAAACCCAAAAUAGAACUUUACAAGCUUAGACAAUGUCUAAUUAAUUUCUAUUCGCUUGCUAGAAUAAACUAAACCAAGUUUCUCUCAGUCAUUUAUUUUUCUAUCUAAUGUUCAAUAUAGAGUGCAAGAUGUGCAAUUAAAAUCUAAGAUUAUACAGUCAUUAAGUUGGAGAAGCUUAAUACACAAACUGGAUCAGUAAUGAAUUAUGUUGUAGCGUGUCAUCCCCCUAUAGAAAAGAGCUUGUGACGACAAUUAAAAACCAAUAUAUUUUAUCACAUUCAUAAUUACAUAAACAAAAAGAGGAACAUAAGCUCAAUUAUGUUUGCCGGAUUUCUUGCUAUAAACAUUUGAAGCGCUCCAAUUUAGCAAAGAAAAUGGAUUCUUGGCUAUUGGAAGCACUGCAGCUGAGGAAAUGCUGUUAAUAUUAUUUUCUUUCUUUUUUCUCUCAGAUAGAUACAGCAUAAUAAUCAACCGAGGUUUCAGGGAUAAUAAAUAUUUCUGCUUCAUGAUUCCUAUCUUCCUAGAGGUCUUCUACAUCAAGAGAAAUUGAACCAUUUGGAGCUUUACGAGUAAUUUCUUGGACUUUAAGUUCACAAAGAUGCUUUGUCCACUGUCACAUUAUGUCUACAUUAAGAAGUAGUCAUCUUCGUACUUUGAUUAAGAUGGCUUAUCAAAGUCAUUGCCGUGGAUUCUAAGAAACUCGGUCAACAAGUAAUACCACUCUCAGAUCUGGUCAAACACCAAAGCAUUUAGGCACUCUGUCAGAUCAAAGGCAUGGUAGGUUGUCAAAUCAAAAGCAACCAGAGCCAAGCUCAGCCAAUGCUGCUUACUGCAUGCAACUAGGUUUUAUGGAUAUGGCAGGAAAUACACCGGUACAUGCACAUUUUAAAUCAUCUGAAAAUGAAUCGGAAACUCAUGCUUCCUGAUACAAACUAAUUACAAAAUUUCCAUGCAUCUUAUGGAAACACUUGUGCUGCAAUGCCGAUGAUGACUAGCUACCCAGAUGGCAGGAGAAAGUGUUCCCCCUCAAAGAGGAAUUACAUGUGCAAUAAGUAACAGAAAGCACAUAGGAAGCUUCUUCUCUAAAUAUCAAUCCUGAAGGAUGAAUACCCAGUUUACGCAAAUAUCACCAUGAAGCACUCUUUUGUCAUCAAGUCUAGCACUCAUUCUGAUGCAUGAGAGAUUCUUACAUAGGAAGCUUCAUCCCAAUGAGGUAAAAACACCAACUCCUUUAGAAAUUACUUAGGACCAGUGCACAUUCGGGGUCCCAUUCAAUUAUAGAAGGCAGUUGGCAUUUAGCAUUCAUAAUCAUAAUAUACAUACUUAACGCUCAAUGAAAACGACAAUCACUAAUAUCCAUGUCUAAUAACAAAUUAUGUAUAAGGAAACAAAAUAAGAGAGAGGUGAUCACCGAGUCAAUGGCAACUGCAAACCGUCCUUUUGUUUCUCUAAUCACUUCUGCAAGGCAGUAUGUACCAUUAUACUACUUUAGUUGAACCCUUUUCAACUAAUAGAAAUACAAUGCCUACAAAAAUGAUCCAAAACUAGAGUUACAGUAUACCUUUUCCCAAUUCGACUAUCGAGGAAAACAACAUAUCCAAGUCCCUCACAUUUUUACACAAGCUGGCCGUAGUCGCAUUCUGUGUGGAACGAUUACUAACGAUUCCACUCUCUGCAAGCUGGAUUUUCCAACCUAAAGGAUCUGUAUAACAAUCCACUAUCCUCAGCCUGUUAGCAUGAUCAUUCAAUUGAGGAAAGAAUCAAAAUUUCAUCCAAAUACAUCAUCAUUUAAAACUAAACCAGUCAGGACAGCUACAGCAAAAACUAAGUUCUGUACCAUUUUUUAAGAGAAGCGGCGUCGUUUGCCUUACUCUUCAACAACUCAGCAUAGAACUGUGGACUCCGGGCAAAAGCUACCAGCACAAUGCCUCUGGAUACAUAAUUUUUUUUUUUUUUUAAAAGUUUGAUAAUAAGCAUAAAUAAAAGUCCUAUGUUGCUGAUUAUUAACAUAAAAUACGAUACAAUUAGAUUGGGGGUGGUUUGAUUGAACUUACUGGGCCUGUGAUUUUGAGGAAGAAAUGUUGGAAGAGAGUUGAGCGAGGAUGUGAUCGAAGACAAAAGCUCCGAGGGGAGCGUGGAUGGAGUCUUUAAUGGUGAGGGCCGGCGCGUGUUCGCCUUCUAGAGCUCCGUCGCGGAGAGCUCUGCUGAUGGCUUCCGCCGCCAUUCCUAUGUACUCUCUGUUACUUCUAUACUACGACGACGUUUUGUCAGCCCUUUCAAUUUUUUUUAAACCUGCUAAUUUGACUGCUUAUUGGAAAAUUUUUACUACUACACUUUUUGAUGCUGGCGUGCUGCUGGUUUAACGUAACCAUGCCAUUGAUUAAUGUUAGUUUAACAUACGUACUUAACCACCUUCACAAUAAUGCAUGCUGGUGGAAAAAUCACACCUUAUGAGUGUGCAAAUUAAGGAAAAAAAGAAAAGUUAUUUUAUUAAGACUAACAGAAGUUGUUAGAAUUUCUUUUGUUGCAAAUAAAAAAAACAGAUAUGAAGAUUUCUUUUGACAAAAAAAAAAAAAAAAACCUCACCUUGUAGAUAUGAGUCAUUAAUAAAUAACUUUAUGCAUAUAUAAACAAUAACGAUGUGGGUCGUCAAUAAAUCAAAGGAAAAAUGAUCAUUUUUGUCCCCGAUCUUCAGAAUUUUGGUCAAAUUCAGUCUCUUAUUUAUCACCGUGACUAUAUUAAUCUCAUACCUUCAUAGAAAAAAACUACGAAUAUAAGAUUUUCAUGAAAAUUUAUAACUUUUAAACAGAAUUAGUCAUGUGCAUAGUAUGCAUGGAGUUAAAAAUGACCUUUUUGAUCAAUUAUCUUUUGAGUCACGUCCAAUAUCAUUUAUUAUAUGUCACCGUAUACCAUUUGAGAUGGGUGCGUCUUUUUAUUCUACUCUUUCUUCUUUUUUUUUUUUCAAAUGCACACCUAUAGUGCAUGGAACUGACUUUAUUAUGUUUCAAAUUUUCCAUAAAAAGUCCCAUAUUGGCAUUAUUUUGUGAAAAUAAGGGUCAAAUUACUAAAAAUAUAAAAUCAGACACAAACUUGAAGAUAAUAAACUAAAAUGAUUAUUUUGAUGGUGCACAUGCCAUGGAUGUGACUAGUUCCAUUAGAAUUAUUUAAAAUUUUCAUUAGACAUCUUAGAUUUUUUUUAAAAAAAAAAUACAAGGGACUGAAAUGAUUGCAAUAAUAGAUUGGAGACUAAAGCUAUCACUUUUUCAUAAAUCAAAGGUUUAGAUAUAUAAUCAACGCGUGUGAAUUUAACUCUUCCUCUGAUCAUAUUCAUCCAAUCUAUUAACUGAUAUUUCAAUGGGGAAAAGAGGAAUAUCAGCUCCUAGCCCAAGGACCCACGAAUAAUACACACUCUCUCUUUUUCCUUUAACAAUUACUUGAUUAACACCAACUCUCAAUGCCGUAAUCUAGCUAAUAAAUUUUUAAUGAUUUUACAGUGGUAUUAUCAUCCGAUAAUCCGAGCUUUGCACAAACUAGCCUAGCCUGUCAAAACAAAGAAAUUUACACUACUUUAUGUUUGUUCAUUCAAACACAUUUGGGAAAAAGGAACGAACUCAAAAUUACGAGAACUAGAGAGCUCACAAAGUGCCUUAGAUUUAGUUUUUCUUGUUUAUUUACAUACUAACGUAGGAAGUGAUCAUAUGAACAUGGUUGGAAAUGUCAAUGGAAAGAAAGGGGCAAAAUUUAUGUAUGGCCACCAAAAUUACCAAAAAACAAAUUGACUCUCUAACAUUUUUGAUGGAUUUCAUAGAAUGAUUUUGGAGUCAUAAAUAUUAAGAAUAUUUUUUUUAACAAUUAUCCUCUAAACAUUUAAAUUACACGUAAUCCACUACGUGUAUGUACGUACACACUUACAUUUAUUCCACCUUUUAUAUUUAGACACUUGUCAGUCAGUGCAAGUCAGCCAAGCCCAGAUUAUGAAUGUUGUCCUCUUAUAUUUCUUAAAACAUGACACGUUAGCCGGCAGGAUCCCAUUUCUCCCCCCUCCCCCUUGGGCAAUUCGAUCCUCCUUUUUCCUUUUGUCUUGUCUUUAAUAAUUCAUUUUCAAGAAUCCAAGAAAGGAACAUAAACUGGUGAUAUUCACCCAGUUCUGUUUUAUUUCGAUGGAGAGUAGGAUGGGUUUUUGCGUAGAUGACAAAUUUUCGGGCAGAAAAAGCUACAGCACGAUAAGAAACGAUAAACUAGUUGAUAAGGCAGCCCGCCAUAUUUUGACACGCAGCUUGCAUUAGCACUGGCACGGGCUCACCCGUGUCAAUGACUCGCGUAUCUUUUCCAAACCUAAGCCAUGUUCCAUGAUUCCCUGGCUUUAUCAUCCGUGCUAUUAGAGAUUAUUCCUUUACUUUUUAAUCCUAGAUUUGGUCAAACGGAACAAGAGGCAAGAGGGGCAGGUCAUGAACUGUUCGUGGUCAGAUUUUGGGAAAAAAAAAAAAGUGCAGUCCAAAUCACUAGUUGUACAUCGAUUUUCACAAUAUAUGUGAAGCUCGUAAAAUUUUGUACUAAAAUUAUACGCUGUGCAAUCAAAAUUACGCAUUAUUAAAAAUGAUCAAAAUCGCCAGGAACUGUUGCAACUGUUCCUGCCCCUUGUCUGGACCGGAGGUGUUAAAGAAAACAGAAAAGGAAGUAGAAGCAUAAAACAAUCACUUGAAAAAGGAGUCCAAUGUAAAUUUAGUUGUGUUGAUGGUUGCUUCUAUGUUAAAUGUUGAAAGAAUUUAAGCCUGAGGAUUCGCAAGGUAGAAAAUCAAUUAUGAAUAGUGUGUAUGUAAAAAAAAAAAAAAAAUUCAAUUGCACGACAACCUAUCCAUUCACCAAGUAAUUAUUCAAGUACACCGAAUACAUUUUCAGAUUGUCAAUUGAAAAGAAUUUUCUGAUAGGACCAAAUGUAAAGAGAGAGAGAGAAAGAGAAUUGACAGGAGUAUUAUUUUUUGGGAUAAUUUCAGAAACCUCCCCUAAGGUUUCUGACACUUUCACUGGCACCCCCUGAGAUUCUCAAAAUUUCAUUGACCUCCCUUGCUUUUGAGUUUUUUGUAACAAUGCAGUCCAAAUUUGAUUACAAUAUUAUUUUCAUGUGUGUGAAGGAAUUUUUAUUCCACGGCUGCCCCUUUGCUCCUUGUAUUAGUAGAAGAUUGAAAGAAUAAUAAAUUACUAAAGUUGAGGGGGUGUAAGUACAAUACAAAAAAUUGUAAGCACUAGAUGUGCCAGGGAAAAUGCCGGUUUUCAUAAAUCUUAAGUCAACUAGUAUGUUAUCUAUUUCACAUAACUUAAGUAACUAAUUAAACUAAUUAAAUUACCUACGAGUAUUACUUUCACAUAAUUAAUUUAUGUUAAAUACAGAACCUAUCAGUUUCCCUUUCGUAAAAAUAUGAGUGUAAUACUUUUUGAAUUUUACUUACAACCAUUUGUAUAUUUAAUAUAAAUUAAAUGAUUCAGAGUAAAAUGCCUAUAAAUAACUUGUACUUUAUUCAUAUAAUAGAAAAAACUUGUAAAGAGCUAGUAAAAAGUGGGUGAUUUUUUUUUUACUUUCACGUAUUUAAUUUAUGUUAAAUACAAAACCUAAUAGUUUCCCUUUCGUAAUAAUAUUAGUGUAACAAUUUUUUAAUUUCACUUAUAAACAUUUAUGUAUUUAAUAUAAAUUAAAUGAUGCAAAUUAAAUUGCUCAUAAAUAGCUAGCUAGUACUUUAUCCAUACAAUGGAAGAAACUUGUAAAGAACUUGUAUGCUAUGAAAAUUUUUUUUUACCUUCAAAUACUUCAUUUAUAUUAAAUACAAAACAUGCUACUUUUCCUAUCGUAAAAAUACUUGUGUAACAGCUUUUGAAUUUUAUUUGCAAAUAUUUAUGAACUUAACAUAAAUUAAAUGAUUCAAAAUAAAAUGCCCAUAAAACCCGGUACUUGGUUCAUUUAAUAGAGAAAAACCAUAAAGAGUUUGUACUUUAUAGGAUAUUUCUUUUUUAAAAAAUGAUUAAUUUAUGUUAAAUAGAUAACCUAUUAGUUUUUUUCGUAAGAAGUUACUGUAACAUUUUUUUGAAUUUUACUUAAAAACAUUUAUAUAUUCACAGCAGGCACAAAAAUGGCGCCUUACUCCCUAGUCUAGCUUUAAUUCAUGUAUUAGCCAUCAAGUUUGUGUUAUUGUUGUUAAGCUUGAUUAAUCACUUAAGAUGCAUUUUUUCUCCAACUAAACAGUAGUAAUACACUCCAUCUUCAGUAAUAAAUUCCCAACUUCAUAGGAUAUAUUUGUAAUUUUGGCCUUCAUGAUGUUAGCAAGGGGGCUCAAUUUUCUAUCAAGGGAGGUCAGUGAAAUUUUGAGAACCUCAGGGGUGCCAGUGAAAGUGUCAAAAACCUCAGGGGAGGUUUCUGAAAUUAUCCCUUAUUUUUUUGUCAAGAAAAAACAAACCUGAUUGAAAAAUUUUCAACAGAGCUCCACGUAGUUUUGGACAUCAAAGUUUGCGGGGCCUAGAAAACCGCAGGUGUCAGGAGUCCAACACUAGAAUCCGAAGAACAUACCGCUUUGGCACUUCACUCGUGAUUUGCCAAGUACCCGAUUCUUUCCUCAGACUCCUCCCAUCCAUCCGUCUCUUUCCUUCGUUUGGUGCUUUUUCAUCAUCGCUGAGCUUGUGGGCCCUAAAUCCGUCAUCUCCCGCAUAUUUGACAUCACCAUCAACCGUCUAAAAUAAAUGCUAAAUAUUAGCACCCCACGAUCCUCACGGCUCCGUCAGCUAACGCCGUGCCCUGAAAAACAACACAUCUCCAUUCCCUGUAGUAGUACUACUAUAAAUCUGACGAUAUUUUCUGAAUUAUUUAUUUAUUUAAUUAAUUAACUCCGUUACUCCGACUGUGAUUGUUCUCCGUCGGACGUUGUGUCCUUCGAACACAGAACUUGCUCCGACUCCCGCUUUAAAUAAAUUCUCAGACAUCCCCAGGCUGCUCACUUCCGAAACGCCUCCUUUUUAAGUGUUCAUUCUACUUUCACUCUCUAGGGUGGUUUUGGUUUUGGUCUUUUUUUGCUGCAGUGCUCCAUGGAGGCUAAUAAUCGUUCAGCGGCGGUUGCUGGUCAGGAGGGGAGACUGCUGAGGUUGAGAUGUUCGGUAAAGAGUUAUGACUGGGGUCGCAUUGGGCGGGAAUCCAGUGUGGCGCGGCUUUAUGAGAGGAAUUGUAAGGCAGAGGCUGAGGAUGGGAAGCCUUACGCUGAAUUCUGGAUGGGUACUCAUGACUCCGGACCCUCCUAUGUUGCACCAGAAACGGCAACGGCAGCGGCGGCGGAGAAGGAGUUGCUCAGUUUGAAGGAUUUGAUCGAGAAAAAUCCCAGGGCUUUUCUAGGGGAUAAGGUCUAUGAUCGCUGGGGUCCCAACCUGCCCUUUCUCUUUAAGGUACUGGUCUUCUUUUUCUGUUGUUUUUAGUUGCUUUAACGGAGUUAUUUUGUUAAUUUAUUUGUUCUGAGCAUUUUUGUACUCGUCUAUAUUGGCUUAAAGUUUUGCUAGUAUUUGAGCCAACCUUUCUCCCUAAUUCUGAGAAAAUUUAAGAGUUAUUCAUACUGAUCUUUCGUUUUCUUCAGGUAAUUGAUGGGGCAGGGGUGUCGAGAAAUUUUUUUUUUUGUUUUAUUUGUUUUUGAGUGCCAAGGAAUUUUAUUUUUUUUUUUGGGUUUAUGAGUGGUAUUUGUUUAUUGAUGGGGGUGCCCAGGCUUUUUUUUUUUUUUGGGUUUAUAAGUGGUAUUUUUCUGGCUCUCUGAUUGAUGGAUUAAAUUUUAGGUGCUGUCAAUUGCGAAAGCCUUGUCAAUUCAAGCUCAUCCAAACAAAGAGUUGGCUACCAUUUUGCACAAGGCGCAACCAAAUGUUUAUAAGGAUCCCAAUCACAAGCCUGAAAUGGCUUUGGCCCUAACUGAAUUUGAGGCCUUAUGUGGGUUUAUCAGUCUUGAGGUAACGUAACAAAUAUUAACAUCUGCAGCUUCUUUAUUCACAUGUGCAUUUUUUUUUGCGGCUGGAAAAGGGAAAAAGUCCCCUAUAGCCGAAUGACACAGCAACAUCUAGUAGCAAUUGCGUUUGUGCUUCUUAAUCAUGAGUGUAUACUCCUAAUCUUGUCUCGAUGAUACCAACAAAAAGGAAAUUUGUUUCAAGCAAUGAUAUAAACACAACUGGAUCUAUAAACUUUGGUAUUAAGCAUUUGAAAAUUUUGGAAGCAUGUUUUUUCAUUAUGCUCGGGUAAGAAUUUGGUAGUAAGGGCUUGAAAAAUUUGGAAGCAUGUUUUUUCAUUAUGCUUGGCUAAGAAUUCAUUGUAAUAUGAUGGGAUCUCUGUUUACAUGCAUACGCCGGUGUUUUGCUCAAACAUUGGAGUGGAAUAUUCUUAGUGCAUUUGCGGAUGUUCACGGUCUCUAUCGUCCAUGAUACACGACAAAUGUUUUGGAGCUGUUGUUGUUGUUGCAUAUAGUUGUUUUUGAGGACAUACAGAAACUUCACAAUAAAAAUAUGUACAGCUAAUGACCUGAACUUUAAUUGUUUUAAAUUCCUGCAGUCGUGCAAUGUGACUUUGUUGAAAUGUAUUACAAAUCUUGUUAUUGUUUCUCCAGGAGCUGAAGAGUGUUGUUCACAAUGUUCCUGAGAUUGUAGAGGUGGUUGGCACAAAAUAUGUCGACGAACUGUUGUGUGUUCAUGAGGAGGAUGUCAAGAAAGCAAAAGAAGUUCUUCAGCUUAUAUUUACUCAACUCAUGGCAGCUAGUAAGGAUGUGAUUGCACAAGCUCUAUCCAGAUUGAUUAGUCGUCUGAGUAUAAAAAAUGAGGUACCUGUGGACUUAUAUUUUAAAUUUGUAAUCAAGAGUUGUCGAAAUUCUUCGAGUGGGUGACAUGACUGUUGAACUUCUUCUGCUCUUGUUAUAUUCUUAUCUUGGUACUAUUGCAUUCUAUGCAAUAGCAUUUGACUGUUAGAAACUUAGGCCCUAAUUGGGAAGGCAGGACCAGUUUUGCUGGCACAUGUUAGGUAUUCAAUGAUUUGCCCAUGUUUGACUAGCUCCAUCCUGGGGUUCUUCAGUACUUCUUGGGUUCUAAUUGGCCUCAGAAUUGGUGUGUAUAUAUAAAUUUAGUCUUCAGUGUUUUUAUGAGCUUGUGUGCCGAGAUAGAUGCAACUAUUUUUUCCUCUUAUGCUGUGUUUUUGUUAUCUAAAGUAACUGGACUUUGUAUACUUCUUGAUCUGAUGAGUUGGUCUUGGGAUAUCAAGUAGCUAUAACAGGUUAGGGAGAGUUGUAUUACUAGUCAUGUGCCCAUUUGAAGUGAUGUCCACAUUCGUCAUCACUUGGGAAGUGAGCACCAAAUACUUUUAUGGAUGUUAUCUUUUCUUAUCAUUGAAAUUCUAACAUCUUCAUUCUCCUCCCUUUUCUUCUUGUUGUUUUUUCCCCUUGGGAGGCCCUUUUUUUUUUUUUGGGAGGAGCGGGGAGAGGAUUUGAUGCCAAGUUGUUUGACUUUAAAGUGAAGAAGUUAGAGAUCAGUCUUGGAAAAAUUGGAAUUAUAUUAAUUGAACCUUAUCUGUUAAUGCCAGUCAAGAUGUGGUUGAUGUACCAAAAUUUCUGUAUUAAGUAAACAAUUUGCCCAUCAUAUGAAGCCUUUCAUCCUGGAAAGCAUAAUCUGAAGAAGUUUAAUCAUUACUCAAAGAUGAUUGAUUUUCCGAACCUCUCUGUACGAAACCAAAUCGAAGCAAUUCUAAGCCUUGUCAAUGGGGCUGGGUUUGAGAAUAAUGCACAUCUCCAGUAUUAGUCAACUUUUACCUGAAGCUUGUACAGAGACUAGGAGAUUUUGAACAAGCUUGAGUACUGAAUUUUGUUUAAUUAUACACAAUGAGGUUAGACUUAAAUCUUUUCUCAAAGAUGACCGAAGUCUGAUUUAUGAUUGUAAGAAGAUGAUUUGAUCUUGUGAAUCAUGUUUACGUAUCUAGAACCAUGUGCAUAUGGUUUGAUGUUUUGAAUGAAGUUUAUAUGUCAUGUGCAAUGCAUUGUGGUUUUCUUACCAUUUUUAUAUGGUUUUUAUAUAUCAUGUGCAAUGAAGUUUAUGAUUGUAAUGAAUGAUUUGGUGCAUAAGGCAUAAUCUUGAACUACUGACCUCAUGCAGGCUGCAGCUAUAAUAUAUUUUAAUGGUCACUUGCAUUUGCAUUCUCCUGUAGUCUUGUAACCGAUCCAGCUUCAUGACAACUUUGUUUUUCUCAUGUUAAUUAGGCAAGGGAGCUGACAGAUAAGGAACACCUAGUAUUGAGGCUUGAAAAGCAGUAUCCAGCUGAUAUUGGUUUGCUAGCAGCAUUCCUACUGAAUUAUAUUAAACUUAAACCUGGUCAAGCUUUAUAUUUAGGGGCAGAUGAGCCUCAUGCAUAUAUCUAUGGAGAGUGUAUAGAGUGCAUGGCAACUUCAGACAAUGUUGUCCGAGCUGGUCUAACUCCAAAGAGCCGGGAUGUCCAAACUCUUUGUUCCAUGCUCACAUACAAACAGGUAAGGAUAGUAUUCAAGUUCAUGGAUGAAUAAUUCCUCAUUCUUGGUACACUUUUUUUUUUUUUUUUUUUGAGUUUCCAUUUUUUGAGUUUUAAACUUGUGUAGUUUUUUUAGAUCCUUUUCUGUUGAAGGAGCAAUAAGUAGUUACUUUGAACUUGAAAGGUGCUGGUAAUUCGAAUGGCUGCCUGUUAUAAAUAGUGCGAAAUCCAAUUUGGCCAUACAGUAAAGAUUCAGAUUUUUGCUGAUCCUGAAUCUUUUCAGUGAUGUUGUUGAGAUCAAUAUCUUGAUUUUCACAUGAAAUGUAUAUUAUGGAUAAGUGGCUAUGGUUUGCCCUGUGUCUGGGUUUCCAUAAUGAUUCAUCAUGUUGGGCUAGGAGUUUUUUCAGCUGGACACUGUUUAUUUGCAAAGAUCAUGUAGACUUAUUGCAGUGAGUAACCAAUUGACCUGCAAACCUCUUCGAUUUAUUCUUAGUUCGAAGCCCUUUUUAUGCCUGUUUUGCUCUGUGUUCCCCUGCUCUUGUUUUUUUUUUUUUUUUUUCAAAGUUUGUCCGGGUUUUAUUAUAUUCAAUUUAACGGCUUAGAUUGGUUGAUUUAGUCUGAUGGAUGGCUGCUGCAGGGGUUACCUGAGAUUCUUGAUGGUGUUGCUUUGAAUCCGUAUGUGCAUAGAUACCCACCACCUUUUGAUGAGUUUGAGGUUGACCGGUGCAUUCUUCCCCAAGGAUCAUCUGUGGGUUUUCCAUCAGUCCCUGGUCCUGCAAUUUAUCUUGUCAUUGGGGGACAGGGAACGAUAUCCGAGGAGUUAGUUGCUGAAGGUGAUGUACUGUUUUCACCUGCGAACACAGAGAUCACCGUAACAACUACAUCAGGCUUGAGUUUGUAUAGAGCUGGCGUCAAUAGCAAGUUUUUCUAAGCUGGUGGUUUAUGGAAACAUCUCAUCCAAGAAGCACGGUAACAGUCGCACGCGAUGUGGCAUGUACUGUCUCUCUCUCUCGUAUAAUAUUAGAUAUGUUUGUAUAUGCAGAGCUAAUAAUAUAUAUAUCACUUGAAUUUUCUUUCCUGGGCAUGAAUGGCCAAACGUUUUAAUGUGGUAAAAGCUUGUUCCUGUCGCGUCAACUUUUUGUUGGUUUUUAUUCCUCACUGUCGGUUCUGUGGAGCAACUUUCGGUCCAUAGAGACUGCCAGCAAGCAAGAGAGAGAAUUUGGUACACAUCUAACUUCUUCCCGCGUUGACUACUAGUUAGCAUAGCUAACCGUAUGCUCGUGCGACGCUAACACCUUAUGAGCCAAAGAUUAAAUUGAAUCUGUCAAUACAUUCUUCACUAUCAGCUUGCGCGUGCUUUACUGUUGUCUAGGGAUUACUAAAGAGCAACGCUGAUACAAGCAAAGCUCUGAGUUGUUCAACAUGUUUGUUCUUUAGCCGUGUGUUUGGUAGCUAUUUUCUGUUUGUAGUUGGGAAAGAAUUUAAGUUUCAAUGCUAAUGUUACAAAUCAUUUAUGAAUCAAAUGAUAAAUAAGUGGAUAUAGAGCACUAUUCUCCUGAUAUUGAACUGUUUCAGUUUUUUUUUUUUUUUUUUUUUUUUUUUUUUUUGACCAGGGGAUAGCCACGCAAUUGUUUAAUAAUCAGGCAGAUACAUUAAAGAUGCGUUGGCGAAGCUAAUGGUUGUUUUUCAUCAUUUCAUUUCUGAAGCCCCUUCUUGGACUUGGGUGUGUAAGAGACUCGAACCAAUAACGUUUUCUUUGGUAUCAAGAAUCAAACAGAUGUGCUCUUUUAUUUUGUACAAUGAAAUGCAAUCUGUAAUUGAUAGCUUAGUAUUUGAUGACUUGAAAGGGCCUUGUUUCCCAUGAUAAAAAAAAAGAGGGAGAGAAAUAUGAAGAAGAGAAGCCUAGUCAUGUGUCCGCAUGAAUUUCCUUUUAUCUCCGCCCAGGCACAUACACGUCCAAGCAAAUUUACACAGCAAUAGGCAGGCUUUUUUCUGUAUUAGCCACCUCUUUAUCAGAUCCACUGAGCCACAGCAGGAGUGCUUCAGCACCUUUCUCCCACGAGCAAUCCAACAUCAUGUCAUGGGCUACUCCUUCGAGGCAGAUAGGUGACGCACCACAAAACCGGCCUGUUUCAUUCAGUCCCUCCAUAUCCUACAAAAUUUUAAAUGGUCUUAGAUGCACUUCAAAUUUUCUGCAUACUACUCCUUAAGAGCGAUCCCAGUGUAAUAUGGAAAAAAGUUGAAAGCAAUAGAAAUCACUCCAGCGGCAUGAGAAUCAAGAAUCAAUAAAGACAUCAUAAGUUCUCUUCAGGUUCAUGUUUACUUCUACAUCAGCUAUCUGUCUAAUGGAGAUGCUAGCAGUGACAACAAAAAUCAACAUUUAAUGUAUGCACUGUGAGUAAUAAAUUCUGCAUUUAAUCGGAAUAUCUAUUGAAGCUGAAUUUACCACUAUGAAGUCAUCAUUUGCGCCCAGCACCAAAAUUUUUGCACAAGAAUUGUUCACCGAAGGAACAGGAAGUGAGGCAUUUAGCUUUCUUAGGUCAAACAACGGCAUCCUCGAACUUUCUGUCAUCAACUUUUGGUAACUGAAGAGAAAAAAAAAUUUUUAUUGCAAAGCUUAUUCAGUGCAGAAAAAUAGCAGAAGGGAGUUCCAAUGAAAGAAACCAAACAAUCUUCUAGACCAAUAUUUUGGCUUAAUAACUGUACACAGAGUUUAAGCUACAUCAAUUUAGGCAAUACACCUAGUUUUCUAACCUGCUGAUUUUACAUCAACACAAAUUUAUUAAUUGCAACAUUUGGUAAUGUUACAUUAAUUUCAACUAAUGGCAGCUGUUAGUUUCUGAAGUACACACCGUAAAACCAGCUGAUCCUCCAAGGAAACAGAGAAAAACGUUUCCUUACAAAGAGGCAGGGAAGUUUGAAAAGCUUUGGCUGCCAAGCUGAGAGUUACCUGUAAAAAUUUUUAAGGACACUGAAGGUUAAAGAAAAAUUGUUACCAAAAGAAGAAGGUGACACAGAAGUUUGCCAAGCAUUGACAAAGCAAGUUUUAUGCAAUUGUGAUUGAAUGGUCUCGUAGGCAGACAAACUAUGAAGUUUCUCAAACUAAGUAAUGCUUUCAAAGAAGAAAAAUUAGAAUUAAGAGUAUAGUAGUUCACAAAUGAUCUGUCCAAAUCUUAAAAAUAACAGUCUGAAAAGUAGAAAUAAAUGAGGAAGUAAAAGAAUGACAUUAUUAAGACGCUCUUUUAAGGAUGCAAUAGAAGCAGUGUCAAUAUAUUCACAGCAAGAAACAGAGACCUUAAAUGCAGCAAUAGGUUUGGAGAAGAGAUAUCGCCAUACUGCUUGGCUGGAUAAAGUGAACGAAAUAUGUUAGUCUGCCAUAAGUAAUGGGAAAGAUGAGGUUGUUGCACAGGCAAUCACCUAUUACCAGAAGGAGGUACGGAGCAAACCAGCGCUGCACCAGCAAGAUAGGAGUGCAACCUUCCACUCUCUAGACACAAAAGCCAAGAAAAGAAACAGCCAAAAGUGAUCACAAGUAACUUAUCUGAUAAAAGAAUUUGUUACCAAUUACAGUAAAUAAAAAAUUAUGUUAAUCAUGCUUGUGAUUUAAAAAGUCACAAAAGCUACUACAAGUUUGCUUUUUCCAGAAGAAGGAUGGAGCAAUCACCCUGAAGGAAAGUACUUUGGCAUAUAACCUAUGUAAAUUUCACGCAUCCCUGACUAGAUAUCAGAUUUAUGACAGUUCAUCCUUGAGGCAACCCUUGUCACAGUUAUUUGAACCUUAUGGUUCAGGAAACAAUAUAUUUCCUUUCUCCAAAAUAAACAAGGUUAGCCACUCAAAGGCGAUCUAUUUGCUAUAUGUCCUUUUGUUCUUAGCAUUGGAUAGCUUAGUUAUCAAGCUUGAAAUUUGAGGGUGAUAAGCAUCUGACAUUGGAGUUAAAAUAUGUUUGUAUUUCAGUCUAAUAUCCAGUAGCCAUAGUAGAUUCACUCUGCCUUCCUAAACAUGUUUAUAUCUCCAAAAUUUUAAAAUUACCUUGAAUUUUGUUGGAUCUCAUAUUAGCAACGUAAUAUUGCACGAUCAGUCCCCCAAAUGAAUGUCCUAUUAAGACAGGGCGCAGUUUGAGUUCUUUCUGGAUGAAGUCAGCAACAUUACCUGCAUGUGUCUACUGCAGAAUUAAACUGGUUUAGUGGGAGAAAUAAGAUAAACGCAGGAAGCACUUAAGGCUUAAUCUCUGAGAAAGGUACUCUCUCUAUAUCAGUUUCUCUUGUUCAUUUUUUCCCUUAUCCUAUUCCCACUGCUCUAUAAGUACUUAGAAAGGAUUGGCAAUUUGAGCUACAAUACCUGGAGAGUACCAGCAACAGGACCAGCAGGAUCAUCGCUUUCUCCCUGACACAAUAGUGAGAAAUUGAAUCAGCAUCUGAUAUCAUAUUUACGUGUAUUAUAAAGCCCCAAGACAAGGUACAACUGUUGGGAAGGGGGAAUAAUCAAUAGAACCCGGCUGGAUCCGGGCUGGGAUAAUGGUGUCCAUUCUUAACCAGCUCCGAAAGGGUUCCUUCCAAAAGGUUUUGAAGCUUUUACUCCAAUUUCAAGAUAUUCCAAAUGGGAUGUCUUUUGAGCAAGACAAAGAUCACUGAUAAGCAAUAGCAGAAACGGAAAAGGCACAUUCUUUACACUAUCAUAUCAUCGAGUACACUAGAAGGCUUGUAGAAAAUCAAGCUUACAUGUUUCCUGAUGCUGCAUUAGCACUUAUACAUGGUUUUGGUUAAGAGGGGAGAAGGGAUGAGGAGCCUGAUGCAAGAAGGGGCCAUGCUCAACUGAGACUAAUGAUGGUUAGCAAUUUAUCAAUAUAGACCAAAUGUUUUUCUUCUCAGUUUUCUUUAAACUUAUGUACCUUCUCAUUUCUUGAGAUAAGAAUUGCUCAAAGCCAUGUAAAUCAAGAUUAAUCCACAUUCUUGGAUUGGACUUUCCGUGAAUUAAUCUGAAGCAAAUAUUUUUUUGGCUAUCGAUUACUCAAAAAUAAUAGUAUAAAAAGAAAUUAGGAAGCUAUAUUUUGUCAGAGAAAUUUAGAUUGGCAGUCUAGGCGUUAAGGAACAUAAAUCCAAUCAUCCACAUAUCUAAACCACGGAAAUUUAUAUCAGUAAUUCAUAACUUUGAUGUAUCUUUCUUAAUUAACAUUCUCGAUAAUAUUUCAUCAAAGCUGAGUUUCAAGAGCUCUACACAGCCACAACUAACACAAGAGUACCUGACCCAAUAAGCUGAGAGCAUAGCAAUCAUAUCCAUUUUGGGAAAAAUACGGCAGCCAAUGCUCAGCCCAGCACCAAGCUGCAUGAAAGCUCCCAUGAACGAACACUAAUGGUGGGAUUUGAGAUUCCUCUUGCCUCUCGUCUGAGCUUUUGUGCUUUAGGCCCUCUUGGAAGAUAACCUCCAUGUUCAACCCAGAGGGAAGCUUGUGGAAACGACGUGACUGCCCUUGUUUCAGUUCAUAUGGAACCCGCAUUUUGUAUUCUUGAUUGAGCGCAGCUCUUGGCAUUAUGGCGGUUCUGCUCUUUCUCGGGAUCAUGCUCGUAGUCAAACUCAGAGUAGCCAUUGCUGGGAUUUGGGAGACAAAGCAAAGCUAACCUACGGUUUCAGCAGCACUGUUUCACCAAUCCCCGGCUUGAAUUUUAUCGCCAAGGAGUUGUCCUUUUGACUUUUUAACCCCUACUAGUUAAUGAAUUUGUAAUUUCGGUCAUUAAACUUUUACAUUCAUGCCAUUGUAGCCUCAACGUUUUGGAUCUUGGAAUUAGAAGUAUUUUUUUCUUUUUCUCUUUCCGACAGCCGUAAUUACUAACUUACAAUUUUCCCUUUUGCCUAUCACAUCCUCGGGACAAAUUUACUGCAACGGUGGAAUAAGUAUUUUUUUACCGUUAAAUCAUAAUAUUUGUAUAACCUAAUAUAUCAUAUUCUAAAGAAGAGGAAUCGAUGACCAGCCUUUGAGUUGGUAGCUACCACCAAUGCAUUAAAGAUUGGUGGGUUGAGAAGCCACAUUAAAGUGGCACUGCUUAAAAAAUUUAGGUUGAUGCGUAGUAUAUCCAUCUGGUCCGUUGGUGAUUCAGUUCUCUUCAAAUUAUCUUUGGAUUGCUUCGGGUCUUCCCCUUCCCCCUAGUAUAGGAUAAUCUAUCAUAUUGACCAAAGAAAAAAAAUAGAGGGAGAGGGGUCCAAAGAGAAUGUCUAAUCUAUUCUAUUCUAUUUGUAUAACCUUAUGGUUGCCAACAAAAAAAGGGUCUCUUAAAUCGUAAUAAUUUUAUUAUUUAAAAUAUAAAGCACAAUCAUCGUUGAGAAAUAUAAACCGAGGGAAUAGUUUCCUGCAAUAACCACAGUAUCUUUCUAGUUCCUAGAUUCCAAAUGGUACAUAGACUUGAGCAAUUUUGAUUACUCGUCAGCAAAACCAAGGUGGAUGGGUGGCUUCUAAAUCUUGAUCAGGUGCAGAAUUAUCGCUUUUGAUUGUUCUUUUUAGAAGUUAUUUUUAAUAGAAUAUAUAUUGUAACAAUUGAAUAUAUAUGAGUUAAAAUAGUGAUAAGGAAAUAUGUUCAUAGAAAGUGAAAUUUUUUUUGUAAAAAAUAGCAAUUCCAACAAGGUCGGACACUAUUCUGUUUGAAAAAAAAAAGAAACCUAUAACCAGAUGUUAUUUUGUUUGGAAAAAAAAAACUACAAGUGAAUAUCUCUCUAUAUUACUCAAAAAAAAAAAAGAAUAUCUAUCUAAAUAAUAAAGCAUGAGUAGGGAUUUUGUGUUAACGAAAAAUGCCAUUAUUUGUUAUUCCAAAAAUGUCAUUUCAACAUUUACCAUUAUCCACUCACGGUCUCAUAUGAAAAAUCUCCCAUUCCUAUGUAAUUACCACUACGCAACUAUCACUACACUUAACUAAUCUACCAAUGAAAAUUGCAUCACCGUAAUCUCUCAUUCCUACAUAACUAUCACUACACUUACUAAUUUAGCAAUGAACAUUGUAUCACCAUCCAAAAAUCUCUCUAAUUAGUUUUUUAUUCUAUAUAUAUUUUUUAUUACUUUUUUUUUUUCAAAAUAUGCAUACGUAUAGCGUGUUUUCUUAUCCACUAGUUUAUUUAUACUUUCAGUUUAAAGAUUGAGGCCCGACAAAGAUCCAAAUUCUAAAUCAAUUGAAGCCCAAACAAACAAACGGACCAACUACCCCACAAUCAGCCCAUUCGGCCCUGUCAUUUAACCGCAGCUCCGCUCGACCAAGGAAUCAACUUCUGGUAAAAAUUUUCCCGGACUAAAGCGACGUCGACGACGACGACAAAUUCAUCGGCGAUUGAAGCAAUUUCUUGAUUCCAGAUGCUUUAGGAGUGCUGAAGCAAUUAACAAUCCAUUUCUGAGCAAAUUCUUUCAGCAGAUAAAAAGAAAAUUUUGAAAAGAUGAUGUCCCCUAGGCAAAAUCUAGACGAUCGAGGAGGAGGAGCAAGUUCUUUCCAAUCAGCUAACUUUAGGUAAUGCUAAAACUUCUACUUGUUCUUGUUUGUUCAAUUUUUUUUUCUCUUCAAAAAUGAAUCAUUGAAGCCUCAUUUUUAAUUCUACGUUUGAUUCACUAGUAUGCUUAAUUAUUAGCAUCUGUUGCUGUUGGUAAGUACAUGUAUCUGCAUUUUUUGCUACUCGAAUUUGCUGGAUGGAUAUGUUUAAGCAAAUAAAUUCCUCUGUUAGGAUUUGAGUUAAUUACGUUUAUAAAGUAUUCUAAACUUGAAGUUUUCAGUUGAUUCAGUAAUUCUACUGCUCACUGUAUCUUUAAUUUCACUGCAUUGCCUUGUUUAAUUUGAUAGCAUUUCUUUGUCUUUUAACUUUACGCUUUUUUUAGGUUCGUUUGCUCUAUCGAUCUUUUUACUUGUCUAUUUUCAAGAGUUUCAUUGUUGGAAAUUUUUUAAGAAUUUGGUAGGCUUUCUUGAAUUAGCAGCUUUAAUGAUUCUACUGAUGUAAUAGUUGUUUCAAAUGUGGAAAACGCUUCAAAAUGGUGAUAAGAGGCUUUCUUUAAUAUCAACUUAGACAAGCCUACUAAUUGUGUUGUUCAAUUGUAGGCGAACUCCCUUGCAGAUAAUCCAUGUUUUUGGCAACUUCAUGAGGAUAUGGUCCGUUUACACUAUGUAUCGCUACUUGUCUCAAACAGGAGCGUCAGUUGUUCUUUUUAUUUUCAGCUGUCUUGUUCCAGCAUCAAUCCUGUUUUUAGUUUUGCAAAAGCCUUGGAAAGGCAGGUCACUCUCUAGCACGCAGGUCUUCUCAAAAUACUCCACUUAUGAAUAAUUAGACACAGCUAGGAAAUCUUCAAACGUUUGUGGCUUAACAAUGACAUUUAUUUUCUGGCAUUGCUCAUUGUUUCUACAGGUUGUACCUUCUGUUAUAAAUGGUGGUAUAACAGCUCUGUAUUUCAUACUGUGGGGAAAAGGUGUUAAAUCUUGCGGUCCUCUUAGGUAAGUUUUUCAAUCUGUUCUAGUGAUCCUCUCUUGUAAUUUUUUGAAUGUGCUUUGGUUUGUUUAUUGAUGACAAUUCGCAAUAUGUGGAUAAGUGAUAAUUAAAUUUUUUAAAAAUAAAAUGAUGCAUAGAUGAACAUUUACAUCACUUAGAGUGAUAGUGUGUGUAAUCUCCUUUGGUGUUUUCUAAGAGCUUGGUUGCCAAGGGCUAAUCCCUAUGUUGGAGAGAGAGAGAGAGAGAGAGCCAUGACUUACUUGGUCCUUGAUCUCUCUUUGAUGUUCUUUUCUGAAAUUCCUCCCAAAGCAGAAAUAGGAUAUUCGGAUAAGUUCUUUGGUUUCAUUUCGUGUCUUUGAAUUCCAGAAGUUUAGUGAUCUUCAAUGUGGCCAGUCUUGCAAUUAUUCUUGUUUGUGUAAUAUGAACAAUUCUCUCACUCAGGGCAAUAUUAGCUGAAUAUUCUGGAGCUGUUCUUGGAGUAUUAUCUGGUGUACUAUAUGGAAGUAGAGGCCAUGUUUGGAAGAAGGUAGACAACUUUCUAUUCCUUUUUGAUUCAAAAGCUUGUUCAAAAAGCUGUCAAGUUGAUUAUGUGCAAGAUAUGAUUCUCUUAUUUUAGGUUUCAGAACAAGAACUUGGCAUGACAGGCUGGUGAUGUAUCUUGUUUAGCUGGAAUACAUCUGGAGUCUUCUUUGAAAUUUAUUAUACAUGUCCUUGCUUUCUUCUUACUAGGAGAAAUGCAAGUCUGUGUGUCGGCUGGAGUUGUAGUGUGGUUGCACUUCCAAGUCAGUUAGUGGUCUUCUAAUUUGAGCUCAGAAUUAUGUGCACUUCAAGGAAUAAAUAAUGCUGUCGCUUAUGUUCUCAUCUGACUUCGAUCAAUCCAGUUAAAAUCCAUAUAUACUAUUCAUCCUUUUUGCUUAUAGGAUUUGUGUUUCCUUAUAUCUAUCAGGUAGGUGGACUUGUUGCAAUGAUGGCAUCAUUUUACUUCUUGUCUCAAGGAUGGGCCAUGGCCACAUAUUCUCCCUUUAAUAUCCUUUCAUUUUAGAUCUAUAUUUCACAUUUAUUGGGAAUCUGAGUGCUAUUAGAAUUUUCUUGCAUAUUGAUUUUUGACAAACAGAUUAUCUUGUUCACAAUUGUCAGCUUAACCAUAAUAUACCAUUUAGUGAUAGUCCUGAUGUUGAGGUUAGGACAGAUCAAGUUGUGGGAAUGAAGAAAAUGCUAGUUCCCAUUGUUGCUGGUGUCUUAUCAGCACUCAGAAGGGUGAUUGCAAGACGUGUCUCACUCAAAGUAUUGACUACUUCACCUUAUCAUUCUUUGUGUAUUUUCUUGAUCAAAAUAUAACUAUUAGGUUUUGGGUAAGAGUUUGUAAGACCUGACUCUAUUUGUUUUAUGGUUGCAGAAUCAACUUAAGAGGCGGCUUCAUGCAAUAACUAUCACUUCUGCAACUUGUUUUCUGUUCCCUGUGGCUAUGUGGGACAUGAUUAUAGUGAGUUUGAUUCUAUGGCUUCUGUGGCAUUUUGAACAAGCCCUGGAUGCCCUGUAUCAAUAUUUUCAGGGUGAUUUAGAUCUGGUAAAUGCUCAUAAUCUGUUUCCUCCUCCUCCUUUCCUCAGGGAACAACCAGCGUAGAAUUGCCAUUUUCUGCAUGGGCAUUUUCAAGCACCAUCUUCUUUGGUGUUAUGUUGAUCUUCUAUGUUGACAGUAUCGCAGAGGAGAGGUACCCUAUUGUUUAUUCCGUUCAUUGCCCUUUGCUUUGCUAGUUGAAUUUUAGUCUAUACUCAGUGCAUCAGCACCAGUUCACUGGGUGAUUCACGAUUCCAAAUGGAUGCUUCCUGUUGAGCUUCAAACUUUAGAAUGUAGUUUAAAUCCUUAGCUUUAAACUUUAGUUCUAUUUACCUUCACAAACACUUAGUCGUACUGUUUAAAAUCAGAGGAGAUAGAUGACAUGUCAGAGUAUAUUGACCUUUACUUAACGGGAUAAUUGCAUGCUCCCCUCCCCCCCUGUUGUACUGGUUAAUUCAUCAACCAAUUGGUGUUUCUUUUGAUUUUUAGAACUUUCUCAACUAACAUUUGCUGUAGCCUAUACGGUCACGCUUUUACGUGGCAUGCCAUUCAAUUUCAGAUAGAUUGCUCCUAUUUUAUUGAAUGUUAACCUUCAUUUUACUAGAAAUAUGUUUAAGCACUUAGUAUGCUAUAUAACUUAAAUAUAUUGUUCUUGCCUUGUGGAGUUCUUGUUUGUGCAUUUUUUCACAUUUAAAAUUGAGUGUUUAAUAAGGGACACUAGAAAUAACUCCUCUUUUCCUGCCCUUUAAUGUUUGCUCCAAAGAAAGAGGCAGGUUGUUGCGAUGUUGUAUAUUUCCAAUUUUCGGGGGGUUACAAGAGUUGAUGUCUUGAGUUUGGGUUGUAUUGCUUUACAUUUAGCUACAAGGUCUUGCAUUUCCCUAAUGAAGUCUUGUUUGUGGCUCCUAACUUGUCAGUCUUUCCUAUCUGUUUGUAGAUUACAUAUGGUUUUCUCUUCUCCGAGACAUUUGAUGGUCGCAGGAAUAUGCAUCAUCGUCAUGGAAAUUGUGUACAAAAUGGACUUCUCGCUCCUGGGCUUUCUGAUUUGUGUUGCAAUUUUGGGCUUUGGUAUGAAACGAAAAGCUGUCUUCAUUUUGAUUAUGGUUAUCAGAAGAAUGAGCAAUAUACAUUAUCAAUUUUUGUGUAGUUGUGCUGGCUAACAAAAUUUUCCAAAGUUGUGCUGAUAGUUUAUUUUAUCUUAUUUUUUGAAGCUGAGAAUCUAAUGUUCUUUAGUGGGUUAGGGUCUUGGUUUUUGCUAGGUUAGAUUCUCGCUGGCUGCAUUCUCCUUUUUCAUCACUUCGUUCCACCCUUCCCUUCUUAGAUAAAUUCAAAGCAAUGUUAAAUCAUUUUGGAAGCUCACAAUAGCUAUUGUCCCACAAUUAUUUGAUGGAAUUUAAAUGAUUUUUGCCUAAGGUAAAGGUCUGAGAUUAAACAGAAGCCUGGGGACGCCAACUCUUGAGCGAAUUGUCUAUGAAAAUGAAAAACAUUCAUAUAUAUUAUAAAAGAUACCAAGCUGACUUAGCAUCUGAUAUGGUACAAUUGUUAACUGAUUAACAGGAAUUUAGUUGUUUAUAUUUUAGUUCCCGUCUUUUCAAUUACCAGUCAUUAGCAUUAACCCGUAGCAUAGAGUAAAGAUAUUUAUUUGGUAAAUGUAUUCUUGCUUCAAGCGUGUAUUUUGAUGAAGGGCCAGCAUAUUGAGUAGUGGUUUUAGGUGCAUUAAUAAUACAGUAUGAAAUAAAUCUGUUCUGUUCCUUUCGACACAAGUCUUUUCAUUGCUUCAUGUGCCAAUACUUAUGAUUGGGUACAAUUAUCAUUCAACAUCUGCGCAUUUAAAUUGCCUCUGUAUUUAACUUCUAGCUUCUUCAAUUCUGUUAGGAAUAUAUGAAGCAACCUCAUUAGACCGAUUUCGAAAAGAUGCUCAACGGAAAUCAGAUGCAUCAAAUGGAAUUCUUGAGGAUCGAAUCGAGAUGUCUCCUCUUCCAACGUGACGUGACUAGGUAGCUCAAGCUUGUGCAUGUAAGACGCAGUAAGCUUCAUUCAUUGUUUCAUUAUUGCUUUGACUUUGAGUUUCAUUAAGAGAUUUGAAGCAGAGGUGGAGGGCUAAUAAGGAUUUUGAAUAAUCUGUGCUUCAUGGAAUAACUAACUGAGGAUUCAUGAUAAUUCCUAUGGAAGUGUGUUGUGCUUAAAUGAAUCAAGAUUGAAUGUUAAUAUUAUUAUAUAGCUUUAGACGUUCAAGACCAAUUUCAUCGGAAGUUAAUUAGGAAUAUUAGAUCUUUCACUGGAUUAGGAGAACGGAAAUGUCACCAGUGAAAACGUACAUCUGUUUAACAGAAAAGUAUGGGACAGGAUGAGUACAACUGAAAACUUUAGGUCUCAUAGUCUUCUGUUAGGUACGAUCAUGGCUUAGACUGCUGACGUUUCCUCAUUUUCUGUUGCAGAUGCAAUCUAGGAUUAUUCUUUAAAAAGCAAUGGGACUGGUGCAGAAGCGUUGAUCUCUGCGUCCACAUGGGUGACUAAAUUUGCCGCAGGAUAUUACAAGUAUUGCACUGCGAGCAGUGAGAAGCGCCACAAAUGUUCUAAUGUUGGGAGUGACGUAAAACCCUGCUCUCAUUGCAGACAAGUCAAGAAAACUGGAAAUACAUGCUGUGGUUGCUUUAUUUCUUGUGUCGCCCCAACCAUUUUUAUUUUGCCAGCACUGGGACAGGUUGGAAGUGAGGAACCAUUGUACAAUAUAUACAUUUAGUUUCCUCGUUUUGCUAUUCUCUCAUCCUCCUCUCCCCCCCCCAACCCAACACAAAAACACACACACACACGCACACAACCCCUUCCUGUUGCCAACCAAAACUUUUCUGUUGAAUUUCCCCAGUGUUUAAACAUUGAAUGUCUUGUCCUAUCGCCUUAUUUUUCCUAUUCUCCAUCUGCCGGUUAGACAAUUUCAACGCAUAGCACGUUCAGAGCUUUCUUUCUACUUUUUAAGUUGGCCUUAAAACUUGUAUGAAACUUGUUUAAACGUUACAGCAACAGUUUCCCGCCAACAACCUCUUGGGUUGUUGGUAUUACUAAGACUUAAAUGUUUCGGUGGGAGGGGGAGGUCAAGUGUUCAAUCCUUGACCUCUCACCUUGUCACUUAAUUGUACGUGACUGGAAGCCUGCAACAUGUAAGGACGUUCGAGGAACAGAUGCAGUCCACUUUCGCAAAAUCACGGCAAUAUUUAUGAGGCCUGUUAUGGAUCCUUCAUUAAAGAUCUCGUCGUCGAGUUUUUCGUUCCGGUAAAUAUAAUUCCGACUAUGGGAAAAUUGUCCGACUGGUCUGAUGCGAGGGAACUUGUGCCUUUUUCAACUAAUGCAGGCUUGGCGCAGAGCUUGCCAGUGUAAAGACGGAGAUGGCUAGUCGAUUUACUACUUCCGUUUACGCUAUUGGUGUUCGAUAGAAAGUCUCAGAGAAAUGUCCCUUCCCCUUCAAAUGUUCGGCAAAAUCAAGCAACAGCUAAACUUCCGCCACCAAACUCUGAUCUCCCCAUAGCUCUGAAAUCUGCAACCACUGGGCACCCGCAUCCAUGGUGUUGCCUCUUUCUUCGUCUGAUCCUCCGUCUCAUCCUCCGCACCUCCUGAAACCCACAAGAAAAAUCAUCUCUUUUUCACGCACUCACAGCAACAACAGCUUCGGUAGAUCACCAUCCCACAGCUGCAAUGGACUAACGUUUGUUCGCAGUAAGAAACCUCUGAGUGAUCUCAAUGCCUGGGGAAUUGGAGGACCCUGCAAUUAUUUCGUCCAAGUCUUUGAUCAAUCUCAGCUUACUACUGCCAUAAGGUGCCGCUGUCUUUCAGACUUAAUCCUCUUUGCGUCCUGCUUCUGUGAGCAUAAUGUGAAAUUUAUUGCAAUGCAGGUAUUGUAGGGAGUAUUCCUUGAGGUUUAUGAUCAUCGGCAAAGGCUCAAAUUGUCUCUUUGAUAACAUGGGAUAUGAUGGUUGUGUUAUCCUCAACUGGAUUGAUUUCUUGGAAAAGAUUAGAUCGGUUGGCUACAGAGUUGGAAGGGGCUAUCCAUUUAAUCGGUUAGGGGUGCAAUCUGCAACUGAAGGAUUAUCAGGGCUGGAGUUUGCUAGUGGAAUCCCUGGAACUGUUGGUGGUGCUGUGGCUUUGAUUUUACUACGAUGAAGAAUUCAAUUGCACCAAUAUAACAUAUUGUCUAAACUGGUGACGGUAUAGUUCAACAAAGAAGUCCAAGACUAGGCGAGUUGGCGAAAUGUUCUAGCAGACCCUUUUUUUUUUCGGUUUUGAAUGAUUAAUUUCAUUUUUUUUUUCUGGAAAUGCUAACUGAUGGAUUUACAUGUGUUUCUUAAUGAAGGAAAUUGCUGAUGCAAUUGAUACUGUGGAAAUUAUAACAUCUGAUGGCGAAUAUCAGAUUCUCCACCAGAGAUAAGCUCACGUUGGGGUAUCGAUCAUCCAUAUUUCAAGACAUGAAGAACUUAGCUGCCAUUGUUGCAGUCGCUUUUCGAUUGAAUAACUUGGAAUCAGCGAGAGAUAAGCAGCAAGAAUAUUUGGAAAGGUAAUAUUAAAGAACGUAAUUAAGAGUAUUGGAAAGGUAAUAAGAAAGUAGGUAAUCAAUGGUCAUGCAAAUGGGGCUUUUGAGGAGUCAAUGAAUCCAACGAGCUCUGUGUUUUCUCUGCAGAAGAAAACUGACUCAACCACUGGGGAAGCGAACUGCUGGUUCAGUGUUUCGAAACCCAUCUCUUUGAGGUAUCUGAGCAGCAGAGUUGAUUGAGAGAUCUGGACUUAAAGGAUUCAAACUGGGAAAGGCUGUGGUCUCCAAUAAGCAUGCAAUUUUCUUCAUAAAUUGUGGUGGUGCAAGUUCUCAAGACAUGCUCAAGCUUAUUGGCUUGGUUAAGCAGACUGUCUAUCAGAAGUUUGGAGUAAAACUGAAGGAAGAAAUUUUGAAUGUUCACCCAUAUAUCGAACAUUCUAUUCCAAAUGUGUGUAAUGACAGUAUCAAGUAACCAGGAAACUGAAACUACUUUUCCUAAUGGACAAAAAAUAAUCAUAUUAAUAAUUUCUGCAUAGUUUCUCAUGAUUUUUCACAUUGAACGCCUUUAUGCUAUUGAUAUAAUUACUACGAAUGUUGGAUCAUCUUCAAAGAAGGAACCAGAAUGAUCCGUUCAUUGCUAAUGAAUUUGCUGCUUGACCCUGCUGGUCAGAGCUUUGGUGAUGAAGUGAGCAAGAACUCCUACUGGACAAAAUAGCAAGCACAGAGAAACUGAAUGCCGAGUUUCAACAUUGUCCUGCAGCCCAUCAUGAAAAACCUGCCUGCUUGCAUGGAAAUCACAAGAGCAUUAUUAAGUGUUCCAAUAACUAAAGACCAAAUCCCCCCCCUCUCCCCCCCACAACCCAAAAAACUCCCAAUGGGGGUCCCAGGAUCCCUCAAACCCCAAAGAAAAUUUACAUAGACAGACCUUGCAGCAAAAAGAUCCACCGCCAGCAGGUGAAUCCAUGCAGAAGCAAGUGUCAUCUCACUGGAGAACAACUUUGCUAUAGCAGACAGCUGAGGGAAGCAGCCGAGUUGACAAUGUUAAUCUCUAACCAUGAUGAAACAUAAAUUCAAAUGCGUCCAUUUGUGAACAUACCUCCGGCAGCCAGUUUUUACUAGAAAACAUGAGACGCAAUGUAUCUGGUGUCCAGGAGUGAUAUAGAAGAUAUGCAUAUAACAGUCCCAGCAUAAUAUAAGGUAUGCUGCUUUCCAUUAACUUCUUGGUCUGCAUUUGAUGUAAUACAACUAGUUACAACAUCGAAUCUUAUUUGAAGUCUCAAAACCCAAAGUGAACAAUUAUCAGGAUCAGUUGCUAAUCAUUGAAACAAAAUCAUCUCGCUGGAGCACUCAACAAACUGAAAUAGAAAUUCAAUUGAGAGGUGGAAGAACUUGAAACAGUGCAGCAUCACUUGAGAAAAUAAAAAGUUGCUUUUUUGGUAUAGUUCCAAGAUGUCCUUACUUACCAAUUCAGCUUUAGGUGCUGCAACCAUGAGUGUAUAAAAUGGAAGAACUGCUACAGUUCCAAAUGUAAAAACACUAGCUGCAAGUUGAGAGCUCGGCAAACCUGCAUAGCCAAAUAAGAGAAUUUUUAAUGCUAGAAGUGUAACAUUCACAAUCUUUGUUUGCCUUGCAAGCUUCUUUCCACAUCAAACAAGCUGCUAUAGAGAAGUGCAAUAGUUUCAGUCACUAAAAUCAAAGAAUAUCUAAGGCUAGAAAGGCAUUUUAAAUUAUAAAUCAUAAUGCAUCAAGCACAAGGUAUGGCCUCUAUAUGUGUAAUUUUGUCUAGCAUGGAAAGAAAAACUUCUACAAUCCGAAAAGACCAUAACAUGUUUCUAAGACUACCUUCUUUAGUCUUUUUACCACCUAAGUGAUUUAAGAUUCCCAUCUAUUCACAGCUGCGAAGCAUCUGUACUCUGUAAUGCUUGUCAGUUGCGAGCCAGCUAUGCAGGAAAAAUAAACUGCUAACCGAUGAUAGACUUCUACCCGCCCUAUUAAACAGAAUGACCCUAAAUAAUCUAAAUGUGCUCAAAGACAGAAGGAAAUGGUAAGUCACGUAUAAAGAUUACAUGAAGCAUAGACUCUGCAAUCAACAGCUCGUCCAAGAUUUGGGUGAAUGCUUGCUAUUGGUCUUCUGGGAAAGCUCCAUUCAGUGCUUAGCUUGGUUCCCAAUUUUUCCGUUUGUCCAACAAAGAGCUGUUUAUUCACACUUCUGAAAGCAAAUAUGGAUCUCUUGUUCAUCCUCAUGCAUUCCGAAAAUCUGUAACACAACCCUGUGCGCUUAACCUACAAGCAAUAGGCACCAAUGUUGACUACCAUUAAAAUUCAAACCCUCACAACGACAUGAUUUAUUGAACUGUUUUGGCAAAUUUGGGAUUUCUAGGAAUUUGCUUCUUCUUUUCUUAAUAGUUGGAUGUGUAAAAUUACAGUCAUGGCUUCACAUAUAUGCAUCAGCAGUUAUGCCUAAAAUGUGAACCUAGUUAGAAGCCUACAUCUAAUGAAGUGGUGACUCUUAGUAGAUUCAACUCAACAAUAUUUUGCAUAUUGGGCACAACCUAUCGGAUCUUCAAAUAAGGUCACGAGAUUGCGUGCAAGGUUUUAUGUCCGAAAAAAAGAAAACAAAAAUAGCAAGAGACUGUAUAAGAGUGAGGAUGAGAAAAACAGGGCAAAAACAGUAUCUUUGCAAGCAUAGGUUAAAAGAAGCAGUAACCAAGUAGAAGUUUGAUUCUUUUUUCCCCAGUGGAGAGGUCAUUCCAUUAAGUUGCGAAUUACGCACAAGAUGGGAAAAAGAAAUCGCACUUCCAGCACAAAAUAUCAAUGCAAGGGAAAAAAGAUCUGUGCUAUUGGGUAGUUCUCCCCUUCAGAACCAAUUCACGAAACUCAUAAUUGAGUUCCCAAUUCACAACUUUGUUUCCAUUAUUACCUCAAUUGAGAUAUAAUACUAAACGGAAGGAUUGAAGAAUCAAGCAUGGUAAUUACUGUAACCUUAAGGUUGCAAUUGUUAACGAUUGAAGUGAACCGGAACCAAUCCAUCCAAUUCAUCCAGUCCUCCUCCAUUAUAACUUCCGCGAUUGGUUAUAAUGUAUGACAGAGCUAUCAUUAACUAUAUUCAAUUCCUCAAUAUAAAGGCCAUUAAAAAGCAUGGUCAAAAGAAGAAAACUCAAGAAAUGACAAACUGAGAUUGAAAGCUGUGAAAUUUUUUGAUGUGCACAACAAAGCAACAAAUCCCACAACCACAGAAAUGAAAACCAAGACACAAAGAGAAUGGAUGAUCAGCAUUCGUGUAAAACGUACAAAGUGAUACAGAGAAAAGCAUCAAGAACUUACCUUGAAUGGCAAUUGGGCUUGGGUAAAGCUAGGAGAGAAGGCCAUCUUUGGUGUGGAAUCGAGAUCGAACAAGAAUUGCAAGAACUUAAAGAGCAAAAAGCGCUUUCCUUUAAGUCAUGAGUCAGUACUCAACCUGGGUAUAUACAGAAAGGGCUGAAAGUAAUGGCCGGUAGGAAAUUCGCUCCCGAAGACACGCAGCUUCUGACUUGGAUUAAAAUAAGAAAGAAAGAUUUGGAAUGAAUUCAUGGUACAACUCUGCACUAUCAUCGUCCCCGUCCCCGUCCCACUAUGCUAGCAGCCGCCCAACACUAGUCCAUUAUCAGACCAAAUUUACCGAACUUCCACUCAACCAAGUAAAGCUCAAGCCUCAAGAUCAAUCGGGACAAGCUCAUUGGAUGGAAGUUUGUGCCUCUCGCCUUUUUAGGAUGCAUGUCCCAAAAUUUGUUGUGGUCUCUCUUCUCAGUCAAAUCUAGGAUGAGUCAUGUGUCUGUACACGUGGCGCUCAUGCAGGGUAGUCGGCUAUUGCCACCCAACCAAUUGGUGGAGGGGCGGUCUGGGAUUGGUCUAAUCUCAUCCGUUUGGAGAUCAAUUGGGUAUGCUUUCAGUCAGGGUCCCGUGUCCUUUUCUCUCUUCCUUUGGUGAAGGGAAAAAAUAUACACCCUCCGUCCUAUUUUGAUAGUUCUAUUUUUCUUUUUCAUCUGUCCCAAAUUAUAGUUCAUUUUCUAAUUAAAAAAUAUAAUUAUAUUUUAGGAUAAAAAACAAAAAAAACCCCUGUGGUAAGCCUAAUACACAAAAAAGCCCCUUAUGAUUUCAAAAUAUACAACACGGCACCUCAUGCUUUGAACUAAAUUGUAAAGGUGACGGAAUCCGUUAAAUUUAACGGAAAUGACUUAUUGGAACCUAAAAAAAAAUUUUAUACCUAAUUUUUAUCAAAUAUACAUAUUCUACCCCUUAAUCCUCAAUUCUCUCUAUUUAAAGAAUAAAACAAAUGAUUUUUUUGAGUUGUCUUUUGCUUUAUUAUAUCAGGGCAUUUUGGUCAUUUUGUUCAUUUCCGUUAAGUUUAACGGAUUCCGUCACCUUUAUAAUUUAGUUCAAAACAUGAGGGGUCGUAUUGUAUAUUUUGAAACUAUGUGGGGCUUUUCUGUGUAUUAAGUUUAUUAUAGAGGGCUUUUUUGUUUUUUACCCUACAUUUUAAUAUUCCUAAAAUACCCUUAUUCAAUGUAAGUUGUUGUUACUAUAAACCUACUCCAUUUAAUAAGAGUUGAUUCUUUUUUUACUAUCAAUUCAAGUUCUCAUAAAGUUGUACUCUAAUUAAUAUGAGAAUAUUUUAGAAAAAUAGUUACCUAAAUUGAUUGUUCCAACAAAAUUAACUACUUUUUUUUUAAAUCGUGUAAAAAAAAAUCAAAACUAUCAAAGUGGGACGGAGAGAGUAUCUAUAUCUAUAUGUAUUGAGGAAGGGGUUUUUAGCGGAAACCCUUUCAAUGUCUUCUGAACUUCCCAUUCUUUUUUCUAGAUUUUUGUAUUUAUUUUAAUAAAUAAAAAGUAGUGGGUUAUAACCAACCCUAUCACCAGUCCAAUUUAAAAUUUAAAACUUCCCCACUAUCUCUUAUCUCAUCUUACAACCACUCCUACAAAUCCUCUAAUCAUCAUCCCAUGUUUUCCCCCACAUUUCCUCCCACGGUUCCCACUCCAAUUAAGAGUCCUCCAAUUUAAGAAUCCCACCCCAAUUAAAACUCCUCCAAAUAUAGCAUCCUCCUUAAAUUUUCUUGCGUGCUCAUUCGUAUUUGUUGGUUAACCAAAACAAGAAUCUAUUAUCUCUUUCAUCUAUUGAUUUUAUAAAUGUAUUGAUUUUGUCUUUUUUGUGAACAGUUAUGGAAGAGAUUAUGUGCAGAGACUUCAACGGAAAUCAACCUUCUUGCGGAGAAUUGGAAGUAUCUUCUUGCCGGCUUAAUUUUCAAGUCAGUCCUCUCUGCCCCUCCUUUUUGUCAUGUUUUGCUUUUCUUUUAAGGUGAUUUGGUUUUUUACUUUCUUUAUUUUUUCUCCUUUCAUUUUCUGGGCUGGCGGAUGGUUUUGAUUGCAUACAUGAUCAAUGCUUUAAAGAGGCCAUGCGAACAGCUGCGUGCUAUUUCACUUUAGGCCAAUGGAUAUGGCCGACUGAUGACUUUGUCAACAAUAAUGUCUUAAAUUUCUAAUAACGGUGACAUUCAUGUUUUCAAAGAUACAUCCAUUCUCUUAGCAACACAGUGCUGUUUCUAGAAUCGCAGUAUAUGCAUCAUCCGUUGGAGCCACCUCUGUGAAGCGGCUAUGAAAAAUUUGAAGCUGCUGCUCUGCACAAAAUGCUGCUAUACAAAACUUCACUCUUCGUGGGAAGAGAUGUUGCCCUUCUAAAAGAGUUACUUUCCAGGUGCAUCCAGGACUAAUAAACUAUCUCAAUUUUUAACAAUCCCUUCAUAGUUUCCCCACCAAGAAGCAGGGAUCCCAUGUCUUUGAAACCCUUCAGGCAUAUGAAACCUUUCAUACAGCACUGGCCUUACAUCCUUCUGCUGAGAGAGGUGCUUGAGAAGUGGAAGGAUAACUUCCAAAAGCUGAUGAGCAUGUGCAUAUUUAAAUUAGUGUGAGUCUCACCCAGCGGACAUAGUUUGACAAAAGUUUUAAUCCAAUUACUGUAAUCAAUGGUACCUGUUCAUCCUGCGGUUGCCCUGCUGAAAAUGGAAUGCAUGGAAUACCAUUUAGUGGUUGCAACAAGAAACUGAAUGGAUUGUUAUCACCCAAAAUGAUCCGCCAGGGAGACCCUACUCUUACGGUCUUACCAUGACGUUGGUCACCCACGGGCAACAUAUUAUUGACCAAGCAUCAGAAAAAAAACACUAGGUAUCCUAAUGCAAGUUCAUGUUUACUCAACUGAAAAUGUUGAAAGCACUCUAAUAGCACCCUUCUGUCUGCAUAUAUUACUCUUGCUACACAAAUAAUUGGUGAUUCACUUGGAAAGUACUCAGCAAUUGAAACGCAAUUGAUUCCCAGUUGCGUCUCUUACUUGGAAAUGCAACUGUACCUAUCCAUUCACUUAGCAAUUCUUUUAUAGAUUAGCAAGGUUAUUUUUGUUUUCUUACGUUUUAGAGCUUUCAUGCUUAGAAGAAUGAGUUAAAUCUAAAACGGAUGGAGACGAAAAUAAAAUAAAUGUUCGAAAUAUUUAGCAUUUUCAUUGUCUUACUUUUGAUCAUGUACUUUGUUGGUGCACUUUUAGUACUGUAAGAUUUACUGCUCUUUUAUAUGCUUUGGAUAUGAGUUGUACAAUCGUUUUCUUUAUCAGUUGAACAUAUUAGACCAUAUUCCAUGCCGAGUUGACUUAGUUUGCCUAGCUUACUUGGAACAACGGAUGUUUGGUUAAAAUCAAUGUUGACAACAACUCCUGAGGUUCGCCUUGCCGCAAAAAAUGUAAAACUGCCUAGAGUUAAUUCAGAAUACUCCAUCAGUAAAUAAAAAAAAAAGACAAAUAACUAAUUCUCAAUAAACUACUUUGCCCAUGCAAAUAACCAUUUGAAUUUACUAUAAACCAGAGCAUAAUUUAAACGAAUUACUGCUAUUCAAUUAUCUCUGAUGAAAUCAAAACUUAGAAUUGUCUGGCAAGAGGGAGAUGACAAACACUUCAAUUUUUUGAUGUGUCCAUUAGUUCAUGCCUAUAAAAUUAGUCCAGUGGCAGAAACUUCCUUUUUUUGUUUGAAAAUACUCUACAUAUGAAAAAGCUAUCCCGACAAAAGCGUAAUUCAGAUUAUGAAUGUUACAAAUGAGCUGAAAUUGAAAAUAGAGCCAUGGUACUGUGAAUUCCUUAAUUUCAUGUACAUUUAAUUUAAACAUAUUUUUCUAUAUUGUAUAUCUAUAUCUUAUUUGUCAAACAGGUACAAUGUUAACGUACAAAUCAGAUAUUCCAGUAGUAACAUGCAUCUUAAUGUACAAGACAGACAUGCACGAAAAUGGUAACAUGCAUCUUUAUUUUUAUAGUACUAUUUAUAAACUAUGUAAAAAAAUACACUAAUUUCGUAUGUUCUUAAUUAUCAAGAAAAUGGUGAUAGAUUGUUCAGCCAACGAAUUAAUUCAUGCAAAGAUCGUACAUUUUUAUUUGUAGUACGCACUCCACAAAAUUCAACAAAGUUAAUUAUAAAUCACCAAAUUUGGCUUUCGUACUAAAAGUGGAUUGGUGUGAAGAGUGUUCGCACCUUCAAGCAAAAUUAUCAAAUCGAGUAAGUAUUUCAUUUUAACAACAUUCAAUUACAUUCAUUUGUAGAAAUAUAUCAUUCCCUUUUUUAAUAUAAAUUUUAUUUUUUUCAGGAUCCAUCUUCCGAAAAAAAAACAGUUCUUGAAUGAUAUACACAUUCUAUUAUAUUUCAAGCUAUUGUUAAAUAGAUAUUACAUUUUAAUUUUAUUGGUACAAUUUUUCACAUUUAUUUAUUCACUCUUUUAUUUUUAUUUUUUUUAAUAAUGUCAGCACCGUGCAUAGCACGGGUAUUCCCACUAGUUUACUAGUACUAGCGUAGCAAAUGCCUUCAAAUUUGAGAAACCCCGAUUCUUGAGACUAAGGCCUUGUGCGGGGUUGUCCUAACUUGCUUUAGAUUUUAUAAAAAUUUGAUUAUAAAAAUUAAUUAUAUCAUAAUUAGUAAAAGUUAUUCUUUGAAUAAUUAUUGUAAAUUUUAGUUUUUAAUUAUUAACAAAAUAUAUAAUUAAAAUACAAAAACAAUUAAGAACACCGUAAAAAUUAAUUAUUCAAGAUCAGAAUUUAUAAUUAGUUAAAAUAAAAUAAUCCAUUGAGAAGAAGCCCUAACCCAAUCUUUGAUGAUCACAUCAUUAAGUAUCGGCUUUUUUUUCUUAUUUUAAAAAAUUGAAACCAUCUGAUGGCAUUUAUAGCUUGUUUGAGAGUUGUAAUUUGACGAGAAAAUAAAGGAACGUGACAAAAAAGAUAUUGGAGUUUUUGAGGGGCAAAAAGAAUAGAAAGCGAAUGAUUUAGAAAGUUAAGCUUCUGCUGCUCCGGUUACCAAACUUUUCUGCCCAAGUAUGGAUGGAAAGCACAGGAAAAGCUGAGAAUACCAAAUAAAAUAUUUUUAAAUGUCAAAUUUAUUCUCAAAUGUGUAUUGAACAAAUUUUUAUCAAUAUACAUAUCCAAAAUUAUUAAAUAAUAUUAAAAUCUCUUCUCUUCUCUUGUGUUCUUUUCUUUUCUUUCAUAACUUAAUAUUACCCAUCUUUUGUUUUUCUAACAUAAACAUCCAAACUAGCUACUAGCACUUGGUUUUUUUUUUUUUUAAGUCAGCAACGAUACAUUUAUAUAACCUACUCUAUCCUAAUUUAGGGAGAGGGGGAGCCUAAGAAGGUUGUGAUAGGGGAACAAACCUACUCUAUCCUAAUCCAUGGGGAGGGGAAGCCUAAGAAGGUUGUAAUAGGGGAUUAGUAGGUAUACAGAUCCAAUUAGAUCAAAAAAAUGUUAUGGCACAAUACUUCAAUUUUUUUUACUGCAGAUGAGGUUUGAAUCCUCAUCUACAGUUUAAGGAGGGAUUUAAGCCUCUCCCUAAUGACCAUUGAGCCAUUAGCCCGGUGAUUUACUAGCACUUGGUUGGGCUUCCCUGACUUUUUUCAAGGACGGCGUCCUUCCCACCUUUCCACGUAGUGGAAUAGGCGGUAGUGAUCCACUAAAAUAAGAAAUAGAUGGCUUUUUCCAAAAGAAAAAAGAAUAGAAAGAUGGGGAACGAUGCUGAUUGUUGAACAAGUGUUCUUUACCACCUCCAGCUGCCACCACGUUGUACGGUGGUCGUAAUGAUAGUUUGAGGCAUUGUUAGACUCGACUGUAAUCAUGGUUGAAGGACUCAGCCGAAUCGGACACAAUUCGGUCGAAUUGUCAUCGUCUCCGCCCUUCUGAUACGAUAUUGGAACGAUAUGAUUUCAAUAUACUUGACUCGUCGAGAUGUCAAAGUGAGGGAUUGAAAUAGUCGAGUCAUACCGAAUAACUGCGAGUCAUUUCGAGUCAACUCGAAUUUUUAUUAUUUUUAAUAAAUUUUUAAUUAUUUUAUUUAUCAUAUUUUUUAUAACUUUUAGAAUAUUAAAUAUUUUAAAAUUCGUGUCUCGCUAAAACCACAGUCGAUAUGCUAAAAUCGAUUUAUUUGGAACGAUUCCGAUCGAAACUAUAACCGCGACCGCGGCUUUUAACCAUGCUCGUAAUUGGUAAUUGGAAUGGCAACUUGUUCAAGCUUUUGGAAUUUUCUUCAUAAGCCGCUUAAAAUGCAUAAAGUUAUUUUGGAAGAUGAUGAUCUUCUUCAAAAAAAAAAGUUGCAAACAUGACGGUCAAUUGGAAGCGUCAAAAUUGGAAAGCUCGGUGGAGUCAACAUCUCGUCCCACUCCAGGCAGGAUAUCAUUCAGGAUUUCUCAAUUACGACAUCUUAAAUAAUGAAUUAAACUGAUUAUUCAACAUAUUAAACAAUUGGUGUGGCCAUUCCAUUGGAACGAGCCUGUUCGAUUGUACACCAUGACAGUCAUUUCCUCUCCUCCAAUUCCCGUCUUAAAGAAAGAAUGUACGGCCUGCACAGAUUGCAGGCGCUGGCGACGGGCUUUGGCUUCAGGGACUAUGUGCAUCAAGCCAAGAAACGAUGUCACCAAGCACUCCAAGGAUCACCUCAUCUGGCUCGCCUUCAAGAAGGGCAUGAUAAGCAUCGUCAUAGAGAAUCAGUUCCUUGUCUGCACUGCUUGCCUUCUCAU
rnacentral:lncRNA from 1 species